rnacentral:lncRNA from 1 species
UCCCAACAUCAACAGCAACGGAAGCAUUUGCCUUGAUAUCCUGAAAGAACAGUGGAGUCCUGCUCUUACCAUAUCCAAGGUUUGACCUUUGUAUCUCUGUCAACCUUUUUAAACACAAAGAAGACUGUUUCUGUUUGUUAAUCCGAGUGGUGAUGAUGCUCUGGAUACAGGUUUGCUGUCGAUCUGCUCAUUGCUGACAGACCCGAACCCAGAUGACCCUCUUGUGCCAGAGAUUGCGCAUAUGUACAAGACGGAAAGACCAAGUACGAGUCAACAGCUCGAAGCUGGACGCAGAAGUACGCCAUGGGAUGAUGAAGACUCAGGUCGAAGACAAGCAAAAGCAUAACGUUAUUUCUCAUCUAGAUAUAUUGAACUGCAUUUGUUUGGUUUAGUAAACGCUAUUAUUAUGUGAUCAUAAUUGAGCAACUUAUAUGCUAUUGCUCUUACUCGUGUUCCAACUGAUAUCAUUAUUAUUCACGUUACUUAAGGUUUUAAUCAUCGAAUUACCUCUCCUCAUUUGCUUGUGUAUGAAAUUGCAAUUGCAAAAACCUUGUGAAUAGCUAAAAUUUGGAAAAAUAUUCUGUUUCAAUUUAAAAAAUUGCAACAAAUUAUGAGAAAAAUCUUCUCUAAUGAUUUCAAGAAUAGUUGAUGUAAGGCACAUGCAUAUACACAUUCGUCCUCCUAAUGCUAAGGAAGUUGAUGAAAAGACUACUAAAAGUUUGGUCUGAGGUUGAUUUUCAAAACUUUAAAGAAUAAAGAAACGUAGAAUAUUGUUUGAGCCAAAAAUAUAUAUUUUUGGUCGCUGAAAAUGUCAAAAAGAAUAAUGUUUUUUUUUAAACGCUUUGUAACAUCAUUACAGAGAUAGGAACAACUCGAUCUCGUACUGAUUCAUUUGAGUAAAUAGUACUCAAAUAGUCAACUCUCGUUGAGCGUUUUUUUGGUUGUGAACUCUUACAUUUGUAUCGUAAUCUAACGUAAAAAAUAAAUUAAAAUGCGUUGACUACUGACAACGAUGACGGUUUGGAUAAUUUGUUUUCCAAUCUAUAAAUAUUCUCUUAAUUGGCAGCUAACAACAAACCAGUCACGUUUUGGAGUGCUUUACUACAAAUCUCUUUAAUUUAUUUUUCUGAUCUAUCAAAUUUCUCUUCAACAUGCGUUCUUACUUUUACAUUUGGUUGUGGUGCUUAACAACCUAUUAGUGAUGCACAUUUCUUCUAUGGGCUUUUAAGUUUCAUCUUAAGCCAACAAUAUAACCUAUUUUGUUGCAUAAUGGGAGUGGAUUAGCAAAUUAAAAUUGAGGGAUAUAGUAAGAAACUUAAUCUUUCAGUCGAAAAGGUUGUUCGAAAAAUGAGUGGUUAUCACUACAAUUGUUAAAAAAAAAUUGUUGCAAGGGAGGCUAUGUCGUAUUUAACACUGAUGCUACUUUCGUCCAAAAUGUUAUGGUUUCAUGUGAGGUCAACGAUAUAGGCUCCCCUGCGACAAAUCUUCUUGACAAUUCAAAAUUUCUUCAGUCAGAAAUUAAGUUUCUUACGCAUAUCCCUUAAUUUUAAUUUGUUCUACAACUGACAAGAAGAUCUAUCGUUAAAAAGAUUUAUACUCUUGUGAAGUCUAUCUGACAAUGUAAAGGUGAGUAAUGAGUACAUAUGAGACUGAUAGAUUGGAAAAACAAAUCAAUGAGAUUUGUAGCAAACCAUUCGAGUAAUAUUGAAAUAAUUAGACUACUUGCGUUGAUUACUCUCUUUGUCCAAACAUCAACAGCAUUUGCUUUGAUAUCCUGAAAGAACAGUGGAGUCCUGCUCUUACCAUUUCCAAGGAUUGACCUUUUGUAUCUCUGUUACCUUUUUUUAACGCAAAGAAGACUUUUCAGCCGAUUAUGUUUAUUAUUUAUUAAUCCUGAUGAUGAUGAUUAUUUAGGUAUUACUGUCGAUUUGCUCAUUGCUGACAGACUCGAAUCCAGAUGAUCCUCUUGUGCCAGAGAUAGCUCAUAUGUACAAGACUGAUAAAAACCAAGUACAAGUCAACUGCACGAAGCUGGACACAGAAGUACGUCAUGGGAUGAUAAGACUCAAGUGGUCUAAAAUAAGGAAAAAGCAUAAACGUUAUUUCUCAUCCAAAUAUAUUAAAACUGCAUUUGUUGGCUUUAGUAAACGCUAUUAUGUGAUCAUAAUCGAGCACAACUUAUAUGCACUUACUCCUCUCUCGUGUCUUAUUUCAACAAUUGAAUAUGAAAACUUAUGAAAAGUACACGUAGAAUCCCAAUUCUGUAUUACAUCUGAGUUGGAGUGAGACACAUACACAACAUAUAAAGAAGACAGAUAACAAAAAAUGUGAUAAAGCAAACACAUUAUAAGGUUGCUUUAGAUUGCUCCACACAUCACUGACCAUAAAUAUCAAAUUUAUUAAGAAAUAUACAAAUUUUUGAAAAUACUAUAGGUGCAUGCACACCCAAUGUGUCUUAAGUGGUUGCCUAGAACUACAAUUCCAAUGUGCAAAUGCAAAGGUUCUUGAAAAAUAUUGAAAGAAGGUUCUCUGAGUUACCAAACCUUUCAAUGUGCAAAAGCAAAAAGCUAAAAUCCUUUGACAUCUUUCUUAUUAUUAACAUCCCACAUCGUGGGAUUGUAGUGUCAUUGGACAAUAUAUAUGUGUAUGGGCAAUCCUCCACUCUUGAACUAAUUUUUGGGUGUGAGUUAGGCCCAUCACUUAUACAUACUACUCGACACAAAGAUACAAACAGAUCAGUAACGUUGAAACCUUAUAAAUGUGAUUGUUGUUGUACAAAUCUCAACUCUUUCUUUUAGAAAAAUUCACCGUACAAUAAAGUAAAGAAUAAAAGCUAUAUAUAUGUGUGUGUGUGUUUUAAUAUAUUAACAUAUAAAUGUUGAUUUUAAAAUAAUAAAAGUGAAAAUAAGUUCUUUUUAGAUUAUGAAUAUGAUAAAAUAUUCGAUGAAAUUAUAUAUUAUGAUUCAGAUAUAAAUAAGUAGUAUAUUAUAAAAUUAUUAUUUCUUUGAUAAAGAUUUCAUUUGUAAAUUUAUAAAAUAUAAAAUACUCUGUAAAUAUAGCAUUUCGUAUAGGACUCCCAAAAUUUCAGGACCGGUUUUGCCGACAAACCCCAAUCCAGAUGAUUCUCUUGUGCCAGAUAUAGCUCAUAUGUACAAGACGGAUAAAACCAUGUACAGUCAACUGCACGAAGGUGGACAUAGAAGUACCCCAUGGGAUGAUAUGAUUCAAGUGGCCGAGACAAGCAACACAUAACGUUAUUUCUCAUCCAAAUAUGUCAAAACUGCAUUGUUGGGGUUACACUAUUAUGUGAUCAUGAUCGAGCAAUUUAUAUGCUCUCACUCCUCUUGUCUGUCUUAUUUCAACAAUUUAAGAGACAAAACUCAUGAAAAAUACACCUAUGAUCAGGGGCGAAUCCUGAACGUCUUCUCACUAGGCGCACAAUGCUAUACUGACUACUGAGUAUAAGCUUAUAAAUUUCAAUGUGCGUAAAGUAUAGUGAAAAAUUAGGCAUUGGUUUUAGAGUCUCCAUAUAAUCUGAACUUUUAGUGCCUUAGAGCAUCUCCAAUGGUAAACUUCGUUUUUUUUUUCAAAAAUGAAGAAUCAUGUUUGUCAAUGGUUUGCUUCAUUUCUUUCUUCAAAAAAAAAAAUAUUCCAAGUAUAUUCUUUUUCUGUUUUAUCAUUAUUUAUCAAAAACAUUUUUUACUUUUGCUAGUUUACUAAUUUUACCCAAGUUUUUAUUUAACAAUAUUUCACCACAAUUGCUAAUUAAUAUUAAAUAGAUAUUAUCAUACAGUAUAAUUAUUAACACCUUGGAAGAAGGAAAUAAAAAACUAUUGGAGAAAUUAGAGAAAACAAGCGCACAAAGACGACAAUGUUUAGAGAUUCAAAACAAGACUUAUGUUUUGAAGAAGUUUAAAGAAGAGAACGAAAUUUUAUUUCGUGAUUUGAACUUCAUACAAGAUCCUAAUGUUCGUGCAUACAUUCAAUCUGAGCAAAAUCAAAUUUUAGUAGAAAGGAGUGAACAACAACAAGCUCAACAGCCUUCUCAGGCAGCCACUUCAUUUGGACAAUAUUUUAACAAUCUUAGUGGAUCUAAAAAAUGAUUUACGAUAUUAUUAAGUGUUAGUUUAUGAUGUGCUAAGUUUUUUUUUUAAUUUAGAUUGGUGUUUAUCAAGUCUUUCAGUUUUUAUAUAAUUUAUGUAAUUGUGUUUCAUCUAAUAUUAGUAAAAAAACAUGUUUCUAGUAUAUUUAAUAUUUUAAAUUGAUUGAAUAAAAAUAAUAAUAAAAACUUUAAAAGUAAGUUGAUAAUAUUAGCUCUUAUAGUUUAUUUAAGUAAAAACUAAGAACAAGUUAAAGUUGAGGGACCAAUCUGUAAUUAAAAAAUGUAUCUUCAAAAAAUAAAGAAAUAAAGAAAAAAAUGAAGAAAAAAAUGAAACAAAAAAUAAAAAAUGAAGCACCAUUGGAGAUGCUCUCACAUAAUAAAAUUUCAACAUAACCAAUCCUCAUUUUUAGUUACAGUAAGUACUUUUAAUUAAAUUGUUAUGUUGCUACUAAAUAUUUAGUAAUUAGUUUUAAGAGAUGCUUUUAAUCUUUGCUUUUUAUACUUUUUAUAAUUAGUUUUUUAAGUAUAUAGAAUAUCAGUUAUGUAAAUAUUUUAAUAUUUUAAUUUACUUUAGACCUCUAGACUGCUUCGCACAGAACUGGCCAUAAAUUAUCAAAUUAUUAAAAAUAUACAAAUUUUUGAAAAUAUUAUAGGUGCAUGUGUACUCAAUAUUGUCUAGUGCCUAGAAUCCCAAUGUGCAAAGGUUCUUGAAAAUCUCGAAAGAAUGUUCUCUGAGCUACUAAACCUUUCAAUGUUCAAAUGCAAAAAGCUAAACUCCGUUGACAUCUUUCUUAUACAUAUUACUCGACACAAAGAUACAAACAGAUAGUGACGUUCCGAACCUUAUAAUGUGAUUGUUGUAAUUGUACAAAUCUCAACUCUUUCUUUUAGAAAAAACUAGAUUGUUUGUCCGCGCUACGCGCGGAAAGGUAUUUUUUGAUAAAAAAAUUAUUACGGAAAUUAAAAUAUAGCAUGGAAAUAAAACUGUAUUAAAAUGUUUGGAGAAUUGUGUACGAAAUAAAGAGGAGUUUGUUUAUUGUUUAACAACGUAGACAAAAGAAAAAAUGGUUGUGCUGCAGAAGAGUGGGCUGGAGGGAUAUUGGAGUCAUGUACUUUGUAGAGUUCCUUAGUAAUCUUUUGGUGGAAGAAGCUUAUGUGAUGUUUUUCCCAGUUGUUUGGUGGCUAAAGGGCUGCCAAUCAUUUAAAUGGAAACUGUUGAUCAUAAUAUAUGAGAUAUAGAUGUUGAAAUUAUCAUAGAAUAUUUUUUUUUACCGUUGUGAGCUGGGAGAUAUAUAAAGAUUUCUUUAUAGACUAUAUUCUUCACUUUCUCUACGUGUGAACUCCGAUCUUAUGCAUAAAACCAUCUAUUUAAUGAACAUAGUUUUUUCGAUGUCAGGUUUUCGGAGAACACGCCCCAGAUCAUAUGUUUCUUUAACUGUGAUAUUAUGUUCACCUUCCAAGUGAAUGAUUAGCUUUUGGACUGAUGGUUUCCUUUUGUGAAUAUGGAAUGCAAACAUUCACCACAUAGACUCACAAGCUGUUAAGUAGCGACAGUCGAUGAAGUCUUGGAAUGCCCUGCAUAGAGCACAGUGUGGUGUAAAUGUGAAUAAUUAUUUAUUAUAUUUUAUUCACAAUUUUGUAUUACAAAGUCUUUAGAAUUACCUGCUUUAAAAUAUAUAUAUAUAGGUUUUUGUAUUUAUUAUUUGGUUGUGUUAAGAAUUAUUAUACUCGUUUUUUGAAUUAGUAUGUAUCUAUAUCUAUAUUAUUAUUUGCGAAAUAAAUUUUUACAACGGAGCUCUCACGUUAAAAGUUAGAACGGUUAAUAUCGUUUAUACCCUUAAUGAAUAAUUAUAUAAAUUAGUAGAAAUAUGAAAACGAAUUUCAAAUCUAUCUGAUUAAAAAAUGAUUAAAAUUAAUAAUAAAUCGUUUAUACCCUUAAUGAAUAAAUUAUAUAAAUAGUCAAAAAUAAAAACAUGUUUUAAAACAUAAGAUAAUUGUUAGAUAUAUUCUGUUGUUAUCUGAAAAUAAUAUUUUAUUAUAAAAUUUAUAGUUAGAUAUAAAAUAAUUUAUAAUUAAAUGCUAAUCAAACAAAUAAAUAUAUUUUCUAAAAUAUAUGUGAAUGUCUUUAAAAUUUAACACACACAAUAAGCAUAUAUAUUUUUUGAUAAAAAGUAAUGAAUAUAUAUUAAUAAUAUUUUAUUUUAUGUUAUAUCUGAUAAUUGACUAUAAGUAAAUAUAAUAAAAUUCUCAAAAAUAAAAUAAAUUUUUAAAACAUAAGAUAAUUCUUAAAUAUGUUGUAUUUUUAUCUGAAAUAAUAUUUUUAAUUAUAAAAUAUAAAUUUUAAUGUUUUAUUUUAUCUUUUUAAAAAUAUAAUUAAUAAUUUAUUAUGUUGGUUUUGAUUUAAUAUUUAUAAAAGGAUAAAUAUCUAUAAAAAUACUAUGCCCGCAUGUGCGGGCGGAACACCCAGUUGAAUAUAAUAUUUAGUGUAAAUGUUUGGAAUAUUUUGUGUAAACGUUUGGAAUAUUUUUUUAGAUAUAAAAGUAUAAAUUAUGCUAAUUUGAAAAAGUAUAACUUAGUAAUAGUAGAGUAUAAUUAUUUGACAUUAAACUUCUGAACAGAUAGUAGUCUAUAUUUUCUAAAAACCAUGUAGGCAUAGUUUGAUUCAUAAUAUAGUAUCCAAUGUGUAUAGUUUUUUUUUUUUAAAUGUUUACCCUAGGGAGGUUUUUAAAGUGGUAAUUUCUAAAUUUAUUUUAUUUUUAUUUUUUCCAUCAUUAACCUUUGAGGAAUUCUGUAAACCUAAUUGAUUAAAAAUACAAAAUAUUCAAUACAAUAGUUUUUUUUUUGGAUCCACCUUUACACUAAAUUUGUGUUAAAACUUACAUCUGAUUACUUUGGAAACUGGUGUAUUUUUUUGAAUUUUUUUUGGUGGCUUUUAAAACAUGUGUUGAAACAUCUUGGUUUUAAUGUCCUCGGCAAUUGCAGGGAAAAGAAACAUUUCCUUCAAGUUGGUAGGUAAAUCUGAAAUAUUUUUACUGUAAUACCUAAUAUUUAUGUCCACUGACUAAAAUAAGUAUGCUAAUAUAAUUUGAAUAGACAACAAUGGUGAAUUUAUAAUCAAGUUCUCAAAAAGGUCUGUUGAAUAGUUUGAUAUAAAGAUAACUUUUAUAAUUUGAUUGUCUCAUUAGACUUAGCAUAUUAAUCUAAUCUAUUAAAAUAGAGUCUUAUUUUUUAUCUACCAUUUACAAGUUGUCAUUUAGUUUUGGACUUCCUUUAGAAUAGCACGUGUUUGGAUAUAGAAAUGUGUUUGGUUCCUUGGAUAUAUCAACUUAUUACAACUUAGUUUAAACCAACAGAGAAAUAAUCUUAUCAUCGAUCAAACAAGUUUGGUUCCUUAAAUAUAUCAUCAUUACUUAAUUUAAACCAACCUCAAAACAAAUAGUACUUCGGUUAUCUAUCAUCUACAAAUAAAAUAAGAAGCUCAACGUUUUAUAAAUGUGCAUCAGUUUAACAAUACAAGUGCGACCUUUGUAUACAUUUAUAUUACAUUCAUUAUGUCCACCCUACGUACCUUAGACUAAACCAACUUUAUAAUUUGCUUCUCUUUACUUGCCACGUUCUCCACCUGGUACACCAACUCAAUUCAGAUUUGUCAAACUUUCAUCAUUCCAAAAAUAGUCACCACGUAUACAUUUACAUGACUUUGUGUAAUGCACCAUUCCAUGCAGUAAUCUACUUAAAGAAGAGUUCAUAAUAUAUCAUUCUAGGCUCCUAAGUAUUUAUGUUGCAUGGUGCAUUACACGAUAAUUACAACCUCAAUAUAUCAAUGUAAAUUAAAAACAGAAUGUAUACAUAUAAAAAUGAUCAAUUUUGUAAAUUAGUUACACGAAAUAUUCUAACAACAAUAUAUAUAUAUAUAUAUAUAUAUAUAUAUAUAUAUAUAUAUAUUAGCUCAAAUCUACACUAACUUAUCAAUAUUUAUUCGUAUAUAUCUUCUUAGAUAUUCAAAUUAAAUAAGAUUCUUAGAAUUAUUUCUUCCCUGAUAUUUUAGAGUUAGGUAUUAACCAACUUUCUAGCUAUAUUUUAAAAUUAGAUAUCUUAACUGACAUCAACCGAUUUCAAAAUUUAUGGAUCGAUACUUGAAAAAGAAUAUACCUAGCGAGACAAACAAAUGUUAUGCUACGCUAUAAAUUAAAGCCGAACCCCAUAAUACAACUCACAUCACCAAAAACAUCUAAGACUCAAAUGGCCAUUUAUAAAUUUGACCAAACUAAAGUAGAUAUGGUAUUAAUAUGGUUGAUAUUUGUAUAAACCAAAAUACCGAAAAACAAAAAAAAAAACUAAACUGAACCAUAAUCUUGAUUGGACACCCCGUAAAACUUUAUAUUUAACACAUAUAUUAUAAUUUCACAUUAGGUACAACACAUAUUAAACAUAAAUUAAUUAUUUACAUGUAAGAAAUUAUAAUUUAUAUAUAUGUAAAAAAGUAUAUUAUAUCCACAUAUUAUAUAACAAAAAAUCAAAAACACAUAAAUAUGAAAUGUAAAUAAGCAAUCUCAAUAAUUAUUAGAAAGAUUAGUCAAAGUAUAUCCGCGCACAGCGCGGGUCCAUAUCUAGUUAUAUUUUAUUACUUGGUUUAGUAAUAUUCUCAUACCAUGGGGGAAAUAGCGAAGCUGUAGAAUAGCUUGAUAUAAUAAUAACCAUACAACUAUGUAUCUGUGUGUAUACUGGCAUACUUAUAGGAAACCAUUUAGCCAAAUUAAUAGUUACUAACAUCUAACAUUUAUAUGUUGGCCAAGCGUGGUUUGGCUAUGCUUUCCAGAGUUUGGCUUCUCUUAGUGUUCUAUAUUUUUCGUAUAUACUCACUGGAAACACAACCUGUGUGCCAGGGAACUAAACAAAUCAAUAGGUAGACAAAAAAAACAAAAUUCUAUCCUAUGAUAAUCAGUCUUUUUGGAAAAAAAUUCCACAAAAAAAUAUAGUCUAAUUUUUUUAGACAAAGGGGACUUAAUCUAGGUGUUUUUGUUUUGUUUUCAAAUAUCGAGGGAGAUAUAAAACUUUUAAUCCACGUUCAAUGAAAAUCAAAACUUGUAUUAAGAGUAAAAUCAAGCUAAUGAGUGACAUAGACUUCUAUUGAGAUAAUAUAUUGGCUCUGGUUUUUAAGGUAAGGAUUUACAAAUAUGGAAAAAAAUAUUCAACUUAAUUGUGCAAUUGAUUCUUUUGAUAUGGGGCAUAAAUCAAGGCAUCUACUUUAUUAAAACAGAAGUACAAAAUAGAAAUACCCCUUAGUUUUACUACUUAUUUACAUUAGAAUGCCAUUGAUGUAUUUAUUGAACCUAUAUUUAAGCAUGCUUGUCUUUUCCUAAUUUAAAUCAUAGAUUUAAGCAUUUAAUAUCUUUCCAAAAUUUAAAUAAUAGAUUUCCUUUAUCAAAUCAUAACCAAAAUAAAUUUCCUAAUAUAUUUCGUAUUAACAUACUCAAUAUUUUUAAUAUUUAUAAGUAAUAAAUAAUAAAAUAAAAAAUCACACAUCAUAAUCAAUUUAUAUAACAUAUAAAUAAAAUAUAAAAUAGUUUAUUCAUAUAUUAGUAUAAUGCUUUCAUAAUAUAAGUCCAAUUAGUUAUAAAUAUUGGAUUUGUUUAUAUGAUACAUUGUGAUAUAAUAGACGAUUAAAAUCACAAAAUAUAAUUAUUCAAAGUAAUAAAUAAAAUUGUUAUGUUUAAAAAUGUUAUAUUAACAGUUAUGUAAUAUAUUUUAAUUUACAUAUAUAUAUUAUACCAUUAGUACAAAGAAAAAAAUUAAAGUGAAAGAAAAUAUUUAUACGGUCACGGGUCAAGCUCUAGAAAUAAAUAACAACAGUAAGAUUAUUUUUCUUUAACAAAUUUCUUUUAAUUGAAAUUAUAGUUCCAAAUAAGUUUAUAUAUUUUAUGUAUUUAUAAAUUUAUUUUCUUUGUCUUUAAGGAAGCUUAGAUUUUGAAAUUGAAAAAAAUAUGACCGCCUCUAUAUUAUUUUAAUUACGAAAUUUAAAAUUUAUAUCAGAAUAUUUUAUUAAACUUUUAAUUUUUAUUUUUAUUAUAACUAUAAAGAUUAAUUUUCAAUAUGAAUUUAUGUUUUAAUAUUACAAAUACGUCAUUUAAUAUAAACAAAAAAAAAACUAAAAACAUAAAAUAAAUACCCGCCCGGUCGGGCGGGUCAAGGUCUAGUUAGAUAUUAUUUGGUAGCACUAAUUUGGGUCCGGUAAUUUAAAAAAAAAAGUUAGUACCAUGCUUUUAACGUGAAACUCAUGCUGAUUCAAAAAAAGUUAGUACCAUACUUUAAAAAACAAAUUGUUUCCAAAAUAGAUUCAAAAGUAUGAAAUAAGCAGAAUUAGGAGAAAGAGUCAAACAAAAGCCAAAAAAACUGGAAAGCUAAAACAGAUAAGUGUAGUAAAAGUUGCAUUCUUUGCCACGAUGAGAGGCAUAUUAGUUCCCAUCUUUAGAACGUUUAGCGUUGCCUAUCUCAACACCAUCACCCAUCCUUUUCAGCACUACCUCUGCAGAAUCUUGAGGGCUUUUGGAUGGCUCAAUAACGUCAUACCCAGUCGCAAGUGUUCCAUUACCAGAGCCACUAAUUUGAUCAGCAACUGGAUCUUGUGUAGAUGGUGGAGCAGAUGGGGACAGGACAUUCGUCACGGUUAUUACCCGCGUCCUGCCUGAAAAAUUGUGCUCAGUCACCUUUACAUUGAACUUGUGUGUUUGCCCUAUUGUGUUGAGCAAAACUUGCGGAACGGGCACCUCGAAUCCAUUUUCUUUAUUUCCAUUGGCCUGGCAUGUUUUAAAAUAGUUGUUAUCUGAGACCGUAAGUGUGUAAAUAAUGAGUUUGUACCUCAAAAUAAUUGAGUUUGUACCUCAAAAUAAUUGCUAACCAACUCCGACGCAUGCUUCCCUGUUAGCUCACGACCGGCAUCGCCAAGGAGAACAAAAACAGCCUCAUCACUCUUAUCAUAAACAUAAAUCUUAGCUAGGUAUCUGGCAUUAAAAUAUUAGCAGUUAGUCACCGCUAAACUAAAAUUGAAUCAAGGGGUUAGAGUUCAUACUGUGGUUCACCGGCAACAUCGUUCUUGCCACAUUUCGCGCACAUAAGGGAGGUUGGCCCUUUGGUUGCCUUUGUUUUGCACCCACCGCAUGCUAUAUAAUACCAAGGAGAGUCGUGGACAACAUCAUCAAUUGUCGCAGUGCACACAAAGAAAGCAUCCUGAGACAAUGUGUAAGCAAUUAAGAUAAGUACAAAUAUGUUAAACAAUGAAUUAGAAACAAAUAUAAUUUUUUAUACCUUCACAGCUCCCUGCUUCAUGUAGGAGAAUAUUUCUUCAAUAGUCAAUGUCUCAGUUUUUGUAACCACAUCUGCAUUGACCUGCUUGGCAAUAUAUGGAUUUCUUCCCAACCUGCUCCAACGUUUGAAAACAUUUCAUAACUCAAACUGAUUGUAACUGGCAAGGGUUCUAAUUAUUAUAUACUAAAUUUUUAAACAUACCAGCCGAUAUACUCUUUAGUUGGUUAGACCUUGUAGUCAAAAAGACCCGUGAGGAGGUCAUGGAUGUGAGAGCAAGUGUGCCUGUAGUAUUAUGUUGUCAUAGACAAAGGCAAACGAAACAGAGAAUAUACAUAUUAGUUCUUUGUUUAUGCUUUUACUCUCUAUGCAAUAUUUAUAAAAAUUAAACAACUACAAAGAGCAAAGCUAAACGACUGCGAUGACACAGAGGUAAAGUAUAUGGGCUAUACAGAGAAUUUAAGAUUGUAAGGUGCGAUUCAGUCUGAGAUAGUGAAAAGUGUACCUCCUAAACGUUUGGGGUAAACAGUAGUCACCAAAAUCAUGGAGGGAGUGUUGUCAGAAGACUUGAACUUCUUGCAGAAAUCCACAGCAGCUUGGUCCCAAAGAUAGAGCUUCAUAACAGGUCCCCUGCAAAUGAUUAACAUUUUCAGUUUUGGAAAAUACCAUAGUGUACUGUGUGAUUUGGACAAAAAGGUAAACGUAAACACUUACGCAUGCGACUGCACAUGCACCAAUAUACGCCGAGUGGUUGCGAGCUCGGCAUCGUCAAUGAAGGGAUGCAUAUUGAGGCUCUAGCCGUUAACCAGUUUCAAGUGUCCAAUAACAUCUGGUACAGGUUGAGAAGCAGAAUGUUGUUGAGAAAGCUUAUAAUUAAUAAGUUAUGAAUUUAAGAUAACACCCUAAUCUAAAAUCAGAUACUGUUUUUUGUAGAUAGUUAGCUACUAAUUGUGAGAUACUGUGUACAAAAUAACAAACCAAGUAUGUGGAAGCAACAUAUUACUAAAUGAUAGAAAACUUACCGUAAAGAUCACCUUUCAUAUCACAGCCAGCUUCGAAGUCUUCAUAGGAAUGGAACCGGAAACGGUCCUCCUCAAAGUCCACAGGACUGUUCUCAAGGGGUGCCAACUCGGAAGUGUGGGAGAAGGAGAUUGUCACGCUGUGAGCAGCAACCCGGAACACCUCUUUGUUUCUGAAUCCGUAGAAGUUGGUGAGAGUGUAGAGACCGCCUUGUCUCAUAUGUGGCAUGAAUUUUUUGAUUCUUCCCGGUGGGACAAAGCCUUGAAUAACGGUCUCCUGCAAACAAAUGAAGUUCGAGCGUAAGUGAAAAAAAAAAAAGAAUUAACAUAAUUAAAAUUCAAAAGAAGCUCUCCAAAGCGGUUUCAAAGUUAAUCAAAAGAGAGUUUAAGUUUGGGGGAGAAGAAUGAAUGAAAUACCGAUUUCACAGGGCUUGUUUCUCUGAGUUCGAUCAUGUACUCAGCCAUCUUCUCUCCAAUCCCCUGCGAGAAAGACAUGAAACAGAGCCAUGUGAAGAAGUUAAACCAAUGUUGACUACGGAAGCAGAGAUUAUGUAAAUUCAUGCGGCUUUACGUUAUGUAGAUGUAUUUACCCAUAAAUGUGAAGCAUCAGGAGUUUCUCCACCAAAUAAGUUCCUGGCGCUCACAAAUGCGUUCCUGUGUACGGGUACAUUAUGAGGGAAGAGGUUCUGGCAUAUGGAACAAUUAAUAAACUCAACCAUUCAAAGGGGUACCUCUGUCCUUUGCUAGUAAGUUUAGCAUUUUCUGCAACGGCUGAUCUAUAAACUCCGAGUUUCUUGACCCAACUUUGAUUUUUACCUAUCAGCGGAGAACGUAUAGCCAUCAUCCUAUGCGAGCUUUUCGUCUUGCCUUUCGAUUCCAGCCAAGCUUGCAGUUUUGCUUCCAUGUCUACUUUAACCUUGGGGGUCUCAACCUUGGGAUUCAUAGACACAACGUUUGAAAUAUUGAUACUAAAUAUCUUUGACAGUAACAAAAGCAAGAGGUUAAUCACUUAAACAUCAUACGAAGAACAUGAUACUAAAUAUCUUUGACAGCAACAAAAGCGAGAGGAAACAUGCGUCUUGCCGUUCGCUUUAACCACGGCGGAUUGAACGGGAUUAGAUCCGGUUUUCGACUCGCCGUUGCCGUCGGAGAGGAGAUGAUCGAUUUGCUGUUUGGCUUUGUCGACAUAGUGUUUCACUGAGGAGAGUGAGUUUUUGAUUAGGGUUUCUAAAAUGAAAAGGCAUCUUCGUAUAAAUAGGGAUGAAACAAAGAAAACGAAACAAAACUAUCAAUGGAUGAUUGAAACAAAGAAAACAAAGCAAAAUAUUGACAUGCUUAAAGUUUAUCAUAAAGGAGAAAUUGAUUGAAGUAAAGCAUAGAUCUGAACUCAUUCUUCAAGUUUUUCAAUCGGAGAAAACGAAAGGGUAUAGAAGAAGAUGCCGAGUUCGUUUGUUAAUUUGGAAAAAAAGAAUCAGGUCCAAACGUGAAUAGCACAAGUAGGACGAAGCCCACAUGUUGACGUCCAUCUGAUGUGUAAAAAAAAAAGAAUAUGAUUGGUUGAUUAUUUUGUAAUACGUGGCAUAGCUAUAUGAUGAGUAUAUCUUCCUUUUAGUAUAAGAAGAUAGAUCACCGUCCAAACUUGCUGCAUGCGUAAGCGUGACUAUAUUUGAGCCAAAAUAUGUAUUUUGCUCAAAAUGUGAUAAAAGAAUAGUAGUAAAAGCUUGAAUUCUAUAACUGAUUCAUUUAAGUCAAAAAGUCAAUUCUCGUUGUACGUUGUUUCCUUUUGCGUUUUCUCUUAAAUUACCGUAAUCUAAACGUCAAAAAUAUUUUAAUGUACGUUGACAACAAAUCAGUAACGUUUUGGAGUGCAUUACUACAAAAUCUCCUUGAUUUGCUUUUCUAGUCUAUAAAUCAUCUCUUCAACAAAUGCACUACUAACAACAAACCAAACACGUUUUCGAGUAUUUUACUACAAAUCUCACUAAUCUGUUUCUCUACUUUAUCAAUCUUCUCUUCGGCACAUGUCCUUUUGCUUUAAAUUUGUUGACCUGCUUAAUACACUCCAGUGAUACAAUUUUCUUCCGUAGACUUUUAAGUUUUAUAUAACUUAAUGAUAUAAUCUUUUUACGAUAAAUUUUUAUGGCAAUUGUAUGAUAAAUACCCAUUUUUCGUGCCGCUUCUUCAAUUGGAAGAUCAACAUAUUUUGAUUUUCCAAUUGAAUGAGCCGCUCGAAAAAGAAUCUUUGAUCUACAAUUACUAAACUUGAUUAUAAUCGUUAAUUUAAAAAAACUUUAAAUCUGCAGAAAAAACUAUAUCACUGAAAGAGGUUUUAAGCAUGACAACAAAUGUAAAGUGAAAUAAUAGUUGAAGACGAAACCGAUAAUAAAUUGGAGAAACAAAUGAGCGAGACAUGUAACAAAAGUGCUUUAAAUAGUUUUGAGGUAAUUAUAGACAACUUGCGUCAAUUACUCCCUCUGUUCAUCUCACAAAGUAUUAUCUCCUCUGCCCAAAAAAAAAAAAGUAUUAUCUCCAUGUUUAUUCCCUUUGCUUAUUACAUGUUGGAAUCGUUUGAAAAAUAAGUACAAUUUUUUUUUUUGGUUCUUCUAAUUAACUGCUUAAACAUUAAAAGGAAGGAGGGCAGAAGUGUAUUUACACAGAAAGGAGGAGGACAUUUUGGUCUGACCGAGUCAAUAGAGAGAGGGAUUCGUCUCCAGUCAAUGACUCCUAAUUUGGUAUAUUCCUCGUAACGGCGUCGUUUCGUUUCUUCAUUCACCCUAAAAAAACCAGAAAAUUUGGUAAAAUUUAAUCUCUAUCUCUCUCAAUUCUCUGUCAAGACUCAAAACUCUUAACCUUUUUUUUUGUAUGCGUUUAAGCCUCUGAUCGUAUCUGAUCCCCAAAGGUUUGCUGCAAGGACAAUAAAAGAAGAGAAUCGAUCCUCUGUUUUCUGGUAAUUGAGCAUUCAAAUGGGAAGCUGCGUCUCUAAGGUAUUCUAUUACAUUAACCAAACGAAACCGAAACCCUUGUUCUGUUAUUGUCUUUUUUGUCGCAUCAAUAUUUGUUUGUUUAUGAGAUGAUAUGAAAUAAAAAUAAGACCCUUUUGGUUUCAUGCAAACGCAGAACAAAGGAGACGAUGAUACAAUCCAUAACGUUGAUUUUUCUGGUGGCAAUGUUCAUCUCAUAACCACCAAAGAGAGCUGGGAUGAUAAAUUAGCUGAAGCUGGCCGUGAUGGCAAAAUCGUAAUUUUCUCCUAUAUUCUCAAUUCUUAUGAAGUAUCCUUUGUGUGUCUAAUGACUCGCUCUCUCGUUUUAAACAAACAGGUGAUAGCAAACUUCAGCGCGACUUGGUGUGGUCCAUGUAAGAUGUUGGCAACGUUUUACGUUGAACUCUCUGAGAAGCAUCCUUCCCUUAUGUUCCUUCUUGUUGAUGUUGAUGAACUCUGCGUGAGUAGUUUUCCCACCAUCCAUAGCUCUUUUCAGAUUCUCUUCUUCAAUUAAAUCUCAAAUGUUUUUGUUUUAAAUUGUGCAGGAUUUUAGCUCAUCGUGGGACAUAAAGGCAACGCCAACCUUCUUCUUUCUAAAGAAUGGUCAGCAAAUAGGCAAGCUUGUCGGAGCUAACAAGCCUGAGCUACAGAAGAAGGUUACUUCCAUCAUUGACUCUCUACCUCAAAGUCCACAACAGCCUUGACUCAACCUUUCUAUAUUGCUUGUGUAGCAAGUAUCAAAAACUCUUUCUUCUUAUCAAUGUAUGUAAAAUGCCAAUUUUUUUAUUAAAGAACAUUAUGUGUUAGUUCAUCACUACUCAAUAUAAUAUUGAAUCAUCUCUAUGUACAAUUACAUCUGUGAUUAGUUUGAACAGAUUAUAAAAUCCAAAAGCACUUUGACUUGAGUUUUUUUUUUCAAUUAUUAGAUACCUUCAAUAAUAUAAUAAUGUGUUCUCUAUCAAAACAAUUUCUUCACUCUUCUAACAAGAUCUCAUCAAAUCUAAUUAUUAAAUAGGUUUCUUUGGCCAAAAAACAGAUCAAUAUUAAAUUCAUAUUCAUAUGUUUCAUACACUUACUUUGAUAAUUAGAUUUAUAAACAUUUUGUUUUGUUAAGAGAUAGAAAAGAAUAUACAUGUUGAGAAAGAAGCGACCACAAGACACAUAAGAUUAUGUAUAUCUUAUAAACAUCAAAUAUAUUUCCAUCUAGUAGCAUUAGGUUCCUCUACAAAGUCUAUGUGGCUUGGCUGAGGAUUGAACGAGGCGGUCUGACGUAUGCGAAGUUGGUAAAAGGGUUGGCCUUAGGAUCAGACCUUGGACUGUUUGCUGGAGAGUCCAACACAGACAUAUCAGUCCAACACUUGUCAAAAUUCGCUAUACAUUGUCUUCCAGAUACCUCCGGCUUGAAACUUGGCUUCACUUCUCUAGCUUCCAGCUUCUUCCAGUUUAUUCCCUUAAACCAUUUGUGCUCUUUUAUCUCCCCUGCUCCUCUCGGUCCACUUCCAAGUCUUCUCUCUGGCUCUUUUUGCAGCAGCUACACAUUCAACACAAAGUCAUGAUCAGAUUUGGUCAGCUACAAUGCCAAUUCAAAGUACAUGAAGAUAAAUAGAUGAAUGAAACAUUGGUCUUGGUCUCCAAAAUUUUUGGAAAUAUUUUAUCUAAGCAAAAAAUCUAAUAUAAUUUUUUUUUAUAAAAGUUCUUAAUAAAUGUUUAUAGUCUUGUAGAUGAUUGUACUUACCCCUUUUAACAAAGCAUGAGCUUCGGUAGACAGAAACUGUGGAAGUUUGAUCUUGUCCUUGACUAUUUUCUGCUGUAUCUUUCCUCUGCUCCCCAUAAACGGUGGCUGAAGAACACAAAACAAAAAAAUGGCAUCACACACAACACAUAUAAGUUAUGAACUAAACAAAGACCAAUACUACAUUAGGUUUUGUCUUACCUUUCCAGUGAGCAUCUCAUAGAGAAGAAUCCCAACGCUCCACCAGUCAGCAGCUUUAUCAUGACCUUUGCCUCUAACGAUUUCAGGUGCCAUAUACUCAGUAGUCCCACACAUUGAGUUUGACCUUGUGUUCUCUUCAAACUCCUUUGCCAAACCAAAGUCAGUCAACAUCACAUGGCCAUCUGUGUCCAUGAGUAUGUUCUCAGGUUUGAGAUCUCUAUGCAUUAUUCCAUUCUCAUGGAGAUGAGAAACCGCAGAGACUAUCUCUGCAGUGUAGACACGAGCCAAGUCCUCUCUGUCAAAGAAAAACAAAACUAGUCAAGCCUUGAAGAAUUCUAGUGAAACUCCAAAAAAAGAGCAAUGAAGCCAAACCUGAAAAGCCCUUGGUGAUAGAGCUGGAAGAAGAGAUGGCCUCCGUUUAUAAAGUCUAGCACAAGAUACAGCCUAUACUUAGUCUGCAUACAAACAAGAGUAUGUAUUAAUUAUAUAGAAGGUAAAGUCACUACGUACGAUGCAAGGUUGUUAGAAGUGAUGAUUAGUACCUGGAAAGAGUAUUUAAGUUGAACAAUGAAGGGAUGAUCAAUCUUGGUUAGGAUGUCACGCUCAGCUUUCAUGUACUCAGCAUGGUUCUUCUCCAUGAUCUUAUCUUUUCUCAUGACCUUCAUAGCGAAUAUCUCGGACGUGUCCUUCUUCCUCACCUGGAACACUUUCCCAAACGCACCUUGCCCCACAACCUUCAAAACUUCGAAGUCUUCAAUGCCUACUUCACCUGAAACCUCCACCACAUCUCCCUCUGGAGCUUUCUCACUGUCUAAGUCAACGAUGGAAGAAGGGCCAACUAAAGAGUGGGAGCGACUGUGGAUAACAGCAGGCUCGUCGAAAACAACAUCACUGGACUCUUGAGGGAGUGGACCAAAGACAUCAGAGAAGUCAAGGUCAACGUUAUCUUUCAGUGGAGGGGUGAUUGUUAAACACAUGUGUUUCUGUAGCGGCUUCACGUUCUUGCAGGCAACAGGGCACUCAGAGCAAACCAUAUUUUCUAAUCCACAGAGAAAAGACGUUCACCAGUUUUGGUUAGGGUUUCGUGCCAAUGGAGUUAACGAGACUGAGAAUAAACAAACCAAUAUCAAGGAGGAGAAGGUCUUCUUGUUUCCCUAGUUGAAGGAAACAGUGUGUACUGCUGCACAAGUGUCCAAUUGCCAUAAAAGUGGUCUAAGCUCUGCGGUUGAUGAAAUUUAUAACAAGUUUUAGAGAUAAGAUUCAACGAAUCAUAUCAAAAUCUUGAAGUACAGAUAAGAUUUUGACAAGACUUAUCAAAAGAAUAACAAAUGGAAAGAUUCCUUUUUAAUUUACCAAAAAGAUAAGAUUAAGGAAACUUGGCACAUACGGAAUAUCAUUAUUACAUGAUCCUCUCACUCAAAAUAAAUUAUUUAUUUUACGAAACCCUAAUCUAAUCUAAUUUAAUCACCCUGGAGACGUGAUCGAAGUAAAUUCUAGAAGAAAAACAAUUGCAAACAACAACCAAAAUCAAUAUGAUUCAGAUAGAGUCUCAAGUUAGGGAAAAACACAUGAAAAUAUCAAACAAAACCUGAAACGUAAAAGGUUUCUUGUCGUAGAAACAACGCAUGAACUUGAAUAUUUCAUAUCCAGAAACCAAAAAGGAAUAUAAACUCUGCGGUAGGGGAGAAAAGUCAAAGAGAUAGAGAAGAAUAUUACCAGAGAGAGAAGAAGAAGAAGAAGCCUGAGGAAGGAGGAGAUGAGGCGGAACAGUGAAUUUAAAAGGAAUAAUAAUAAGGUUAUGCCCCCAAAACUUCUAGGAAAAGGUUUCAGGUGGCUCCUUUGUUAUUUUCCUUUUUAUUACAGAACAAGCAAACUUGCGAAGCAUCGUGGAUCAAGGGGUUAGUAUACGUGUUCUGCCUUCAUUGGGCGAAAGUUUACAAGUUGUUAAACGCGGCGGAGGUUUUUUUGAAUAUUUAAUUAUUUAUUAACAUCAAUUAUUUGUCUAUUUCCAUAAAUCCAACUCAAGUGGGAUGUAUUUUGGAAAAUAGUUUAUUUUUUCUUUAUUUAAAUCACAUGUUUUUCAAGCAAAAUAGUAGUACUGAUCAUAAACCCCUUAUUAUAUUUCAAAGCAUAUACAAUCAUAUCACAAACACAUUGUGGAUUAUAAGCACAAAACACUAAACCACAUGACUAAGCUGUUGAGACUUUUACCACUUGUAAGGCUUUAAGCCUUUAAAGUAUUUUUAUUACAUUUCCUCUUGUUACGUUCAUGUUUUACAAAAGUCAGCACUCUGUGGCUUUAGACUUUUUUUUUUAGUUACAGUCAACUUCUUAAAGCCUAAAGUUUUAUAAGCAAAAUGUUUUUAAAAGCCACAGUCACAACAGAUGUAAACAAUCGCAGCCUAAGUCGUUAUUCAACAAUUAUUCAAUGAUUUAUGAAAGCCAUAUCAAACAUUAUGCUUAGAAAGUUAAACAACUUUAUUUAGAUAAAAUAUUUCUCUCGACAUACAAUUUUCUUAAAUAUGGAUCAAGCAGCUCAUUUCUUAAAACAGGUUUUAAUAAAUAAAAGAGACAUUAGGUUCUCACAUAUGCUGAAGGAAUGAUGGAGGAGGUCUCACAUAUGUGAAGUUGGUAAAAGGGUUGGCCUUAGGAUCCGAGCUUGGACUGCUUGCUGGUGAGUCCAACACUGACAUUUCAGUCCAGCACUUGUCAAAAUUCGCUAUGCACUGUCUUCCCGAGAUCUCCGGCUUGAAACUUGGCUUCACUUCUCUUGCCUCCAGUUUCUUCCAGUUCAUUCCUUUGAACCAUUUGUGAUCUUUUAUCUCCCCUGCUCCGCUUGGUCCACUUCCAAGUCUCCUCUCUGGCUCUUUUUGCAGCAGCUAUACGUUCAUUACAAGAGGUCAGAUACAAUGCUUUAUAGUAGUACUAUGAAGAUGAUGAUACUUACCCCUUUCAGCAAGGAAUGAGCCUCACUGGACAGAAACUGUGGAAGCUUGAUCUUGUCCUUUACAAUUUUCUGCUCUAUCUUUCCUCUGCUCCCCAUAAACGGUGGCUGCAAAAAAUAAAAGACAUCAAACAACACAUUCAUAUCACCUAAGCAUAAUAACAGGAAUGAGUGAGUCCUUUUACCUUUCCUGUGAGCAUCUCAUAGAGAAGAAUCCCAACGCUCCACCAAUCAGCAGCCUUAUCAUGACCUUUUCCUCUAACAAUUUCAGGUGCCAUAUACUCAGUAGUUCCACACAUGGAGUUUGAUCUUGUGUUCUCUUCAAACUCCUUUGCUAAGCCAAAAUCAGUUAGCAUCACAUGGCCAUCUACGUCCAUGAGAAUGUUUUCAGGUUUGAGAUCUCUAUGCAUUAUGCCUUUCUCAUGGAGAUGAGAAACUGCAGAGAUGAUCUCUGCAGUGUACACACGAGCCAAUUCCUCUCUGAGAAAAAACAAAACAAAACAUAGAACUAGUCAAGCCUUGCGGAUUCUGGUGAAACUCCAAAACUAAUUGAAAAUAGCAAUGAAGCCAAACCUGAAAAGCCCUUGAUGAUAGAGCUGGAAGAAGAGAUGCCCUCCGUUUAUAAAGUCUAGCACAAGGUAGAGCCUGUACUUAGUCUGCAAAAGAGAAUGUAUACACUCUGAGUAAAUCAUAUAGAAGGUUAAAGCCACUAGGAUGCAAAGUGAUGAUUAGUACCUGAAAAGAGUAUUUAAGUUGAACAAUGAAGGGAUGAUCAAUCUUAGUUAGGAUGUCACGCUCAGCUUUCAUAUACUCAGCAUGGUUCUUCUCCAUAAUCUUAUCUUUCCUCAUGACCUUCAUCGCAAAUAUCUCAGAAGUCUCCUUCUUCCUCACCUGAUACACUUUCCCAAACGCACCUUUCCCUACAACCUUCAUAACCUCAAAAUCAUCAAGACCAACCAAACCAGGGACCUUCACCACCACAUCUUUCUCCGCAGAUCCAUCACUGUCAGUCUCGUCAGUACCAGAGAAUUCAUAUUUUAACGAUUCAGCUUCAACACACUCCACCAAGUCAACAGAGUCCUCAGUCUCUAGUAAGGUAAGCUUCCUGACCUUGAAAGAAUGACUGCCUAUCGAAGACGGUCCAACCAAAGAGUGGGAACGAGUGUGGAUAACAGCAGGCUCGUCGAAGGCAACGUCUCCGGCCUCUUCAGGGAGUGGGCCAAACACAUCAGAGAAAUCAAGUUCAACAUCAUCUUUCAAUAAAGAAACCGAAGGGCUGAGGGACAAAUACUGCUGCUUGUGGGUUUUGUUGGGGACAGGAAGGUGAGAGGAGACCAUAGCUUACAACCAAAAAAUAAACAACAGAGAACCGCUGAGAAAGCUUCACCAGAAGGGGGUUAAUGCGGAGAAAACUGACUAAAACGACAGCGGAUCUGGAGAAUAGUGGCGAUAGGCAAUCCAAUAACGAGUUGAAGAAGCUCUAGUUGUUUCCCGUUGUUAAGGAAACAUUCGAUGCUGCAGUAGUGCGCAAAUGCCAUGAAGGUUUUAUAUGCUCUGCAAGAAAAAAACAUCAAAAGUUCACAACUUUAGAGUCUAUAUCAUAUAAGCAAGUUCAAUGAUCAAUUUAACUUCAUAAAAAUAUAUGAGAAACGUAUAAGCAAGUUCAACGAUCAAUUUAACUUUAUAAAAAUAUAUGAUUGAGAUUAAGAAACGUAUAAGCAAGUUAAAACGAUCAAUUAACUCCAACACAAAUGCGAAAAGAAGGAAAAUUUUCACUACAAUCAUGAAUAAACCCCAAUGCUUGAUUACAAACCCUAGAUAGAUUCUAUAACCCUAAAUUUCCCCAGGAGAAAAAGUAAUUCAAUUUCAAUAAAAUCAGAUCUAGUGAAAGCAAAUUGAGAUCUAACAAGGAGAUCUAAAUUCAGCGAGUGAAAGUCUAAGAGAGGGCAGAGAGAGAGAGAGAUGUUUUACCAGAGAGGAUGGUUGAGGGAAGAGACGACAAUGGGAACGAAGACGAGAGGAGGAUUUAAUAAAGAGAGGCGUCGUAUAGAUCCAGGGAGAGAACACGUGGUCCUAUCUUACUGGGCGAAUGUUGACCAAGUAGUUAAUUGUGCGGCGGAGGAUUUUUCGGCUUCUUUUAUUUGUGGUUGUGGGCUGAUUUUAACCAAGCCCAUAAUACGAAUAUUCGAGAGUAUAUUAUUCAGGUGUUCAUAUUUAUUAAUUUUUUAUAGAGCAUCUAUCCGCGGAUUUUGAUUUUGGAUCCAAUUUGUAAUUAAGUUUACACCCGGUUCAUGUACAUACAGUGACAGGUUCUAGUAACCAAUAUUUAUUCACCACGUUAACAAAGAUGUAGGACUGUUACUUCCCAUUACACUGCCCAAAGACUGAGGUGAUGACAAUAAACCCUCCCGAAGAGAGACCCAUCAUUACUUGUCGUAGUGGAUAUAUAUUUAAGACAAUAUCAGACAAAUUGCUCUUCUUUUGGCCAUAAUUUUACAAACUGAUAGAAGAGAGAUGGAGAAAGAAUAAAGAGUAUCGAACUGCUUGAGAAUCAUGAGUCAAAGUGGAUACAUAUGUACAUGCUCGAUUACUAUCCCCGACAAAAAAAAAAGAUUUGCCAGUGAUACAAAUCUUAGUAAGAGAUAUAUUGGUAUAGAUUAUGUAGACAUUAGAUCAAUAGGGGCAUUAUGGUAUAAUCGAAAAAUCAAAUAGUGCUUAAUAGUAGAUUUGUGUAGUUACCUAAAUAUGAGAUAAAUCUUGUGUAGAGAGUGCAAAUAUUCAAAAACAAAUAGGAAAAAAGAGAGAAUAUGAACAAAUCAAAACCCUUCAAGACUAGUUCUCCUAACACUACCUGAAGACAAUCUCCGUACCUCCUCCCUACUCAUCUCCAACGACGAACACACUCUUGCCGGGAACACCAACCCCCGUCCCCUUGUAGGCGAAACUGACGGUCGUCCUGCUGGUGGCGAUGGCGAAAAACCAGACCUCGGCGGCGCUGCUACAGCCGGUGUCCAAACAAUAGUGUUGAGACUGCUUGAUCUUCCCAUAUGUUUCCUCGCCGCGACAGGUGCUGGCUCCCGUAACGGGAACCUACAAGAGUACUUCAUGUCCUGCACAACCCUGAGCUGAUCAACAAUAUUCCUCAUGGUUGGACGCUCUGAUGGCUCCACCUGCAAACACUUCUGCGCUAUAUCCGCUAUGCUCCACGCUGCUUUCGCUGGAAACCGACCUUUGAGCUGAGGAUCCAUUAUAAGAGAGAGUCUACAGUCAUCUGCUAGAAAAGCUUUGCUCCAUUUCACUAAGUUCCUCUCUUCUUUAGGGUACGAACCGUCCAUGUUUCUCCGACCAGUUAACAUCUCAAGCAGAACUAUCCCGUAGCUCCACACGUUGCUCUUUGGUGUCAAAACCCCUCUCUCUAGUGUCUCUACUGAGAGGUUAGCUAGUGCUGAACUGUUAGAGGUUUCUGUCUCGGGAGGAGUGUUGCCUACGCAACCGUAUCCAGAUAACUUGGCGCUGAAGUCUUUAUCUACUUGGAUGUUAGCCGCUGAAAAUUCGUUGUACAUCGCCUGUUCACCAAGAAGACAAAAGAUCUCAGUAACAAGCAUGGUCCUAAAAAUCGGUUUAGCAAAUUCAUGUUAACCAAAACGAUUUUCUUAAAAUCCGAUUUAUACAACUCAAAUCGGUUUAAAUCAUUCUAAAUAUGAUUUAUACGACUCAAAUCGGUUUAAAUCAUUCUAAAUAUGUUUAAAUCGAUCUAAAUUAGUCUAAAUCUGUUAAAUCAAGUAAUCAUGUUAGUACAAAUUCACAAAAUUUGUCUAAUUUUGUUUGUUUUAUAUAUCUAAUUUUAAUAAUUCAUCAAAACAAUUUUAGAAUUAAACCCAAAAACUAAAAUAACUUAUAUAAAUGUAAAAUAUAUCUAAAAUAAAUCAAUGAUUUGUUAAGGCCUAGACCCCGAAUAAUCCAACUAGUCACUAAUACCGCCUAGUGAUUUCUUGAACAUUAGUCACAAGUAACUAAUAGUUUUGACAAUGUUGAUGAGUCUUUUUUGUGUGUACCUGAAAGGGUCCUUCUUCAUGUAAGAAGGUUAGACCCUGAGCUGCGCAUAGAGCAAUCUUCAUUCUAGUGUUCCAAUCAAGCGGAGGACCAUCUGAUCUCCCAUGUAGUAACCGGUCCAAGCUUCCAAGAGCAAGCCUCUCGUACACCAACAUUCUCGUGUCGGACCCUUCACGUGCGUGAUAGCCCAACAGUUUACAAAGAUUCUGGUGUUGCAGCGACGCCAAUGUGUUCACUUCAUUAGUAAACUCUCUAAUACUCUGCACAAUAGUAACGAAUAGUAAGAACACAAAUAAACACAUUAUAUGGUAACAUAACAACGUAUGUUUUAUUUACCUGAGUUAUUACGUUAAGUCUCACAACAGUUGCCUCGACCUUCUUUGAGAUUGAAGUUGAAGCAGCCUCGUCACCAAACGAAGCCAUGUACAUAACAGAUGAAAGACCUUCGGAGACACAUCUGUCCGUAGCAAAGGCACUACAAGCUGACACUACUUCAUCGUACGAGAAGCUUCUAACAGACACACUAGGCGGCAAAGGCAACGGUCCGGAGACAGCAGAUGAUGAUAACCUCCCGCUGCUUCCGUUAAACGAUUUAAAGCUCCCCCAGUUCUUCAACGAAGAGCCGGUCCUCGGAGACGGCAACGGAAGUGGCUGCGGGCUAGUUUCUUGCUCCUCGUGGCUAAGCAGAUCCCUCUCAGCUACACCGUGAAUGCUCGAAGGAGCAGACAUCACUCUCGUCCUGCUGCUGCUCAUCUCGACAUUACUAGGCUUCGCUCUAGUUCUGAAACUCGGAGGAGCGGACUGUAGAUUACGGCUUGGAACCUUGGGUGGUGGCUCUGGUAAAGCAAUUGGCUUGCUGCUUUCUUCGAGAUCUAACCGUUUCAUAGAGACAGAGCCACGUUUCUUCUUGCCUUUCAAAGGGAAACAUCCUAAAACCAUCUUUACUAAAGGGCACUGAUAACUGAAGACUAUACUAGCAAUUUCACCUGAAAAUGAUUCAAAAAAACAAAACGUUUUUUUUUUUUAGCAACAGAGACAAAGAUUGUUUUUUCUUACAAAACCAGAUCAGUUUAUGCAUGUUUUAGAUCAAUUGUCUUGAUAAAAACAAUGAGCUUGAAAAAAAUAAAAACUGGAUUAUAUCUCCUCAGUUACAGAUCUACAUAAACUCUAAUUGUGUCAGUGGAACAGCUAAAGAUGCAAUAAAUAUCUAAGACACGCGUUUAAAAUGACGACAUCCACUAGAUUAAUUACGACAAUAGACUCAGGAAACUACAUAAACGAAAGUUCGUAUCAUCAUUGGAUAUUUUAAUUUCUAAAUUUAAAAUUUUCACUGAAACAAAACACAAUCUGUUCAUGAGAAAGUUCGUUAUCCGAUCGCAAAAAAAAAGAACAAAAAAGGAACGUCAGAUUCGAUCUAAAUGAGAGAGAUUUGUUCAAACCUGGAAGGAACAAUAACCGAAGAAAAUUCUCUGGAGACGAAACUGAAACUGAAACUGCAGCAAGAGAGGAAGAGAGAUGAGCGAAAAUGAAAUCGGAAAUUUCUAAGGAAAGGAAACUCGGGUUUGUUUAGGUAAGUGAGAGAGAGAGAUGUGGGACCCAAAAGAGAGCAGUAGUCAAAGUUCAAACCAAAGCAGAUGAUGUCCUAAAUAAUAUUAUUUUAAUUUUAAUUCAAUUCCUCAUCCCUACAACUCUGUUUGGAAUUUUAUCACUUUACUUUCAUAUUAUUCCUCUUUCACCCCUUUACUUUUUGUUUUCUUCUUUCUAAACCUCGUAACGAUUAUCAUCAUAUACAAUACUGUAAUAAAUACCACUACAAAUAAUUUAUUUUACAAAAUAGAGAUACAUUCCUUAUUUCCAUGCAAUGACAGCUCCAACAAAGAUUUAAAAUUAUUACUUUUCAAAAUACUUGUGUAGUAUGGCCUUUUAUUACAUCUGUUAUUUUUCAUGAGUCUAAAAACUCAUUUUAAGUCACUAGACAUGGACGGUCUAUUUUUCUGACUAUGUAUUUCACAAGAAAAUUUCGUUUCUAAUUAAUAAUUUAAUAUUAAGUAUCCAUCAAUUUUUUUUAAAAAAAUCAAAGUUUCCAGUAAAGCGACAUCUCAGUCAAACUUGGAAAACUAAUCUUAUUUGCUUGUUCAAUAAGAAUAGGCAGUAUCUAAAUGGGGUUUUGUUUUCUGGUCAAAUGGCUAAUUAAGUUGUUGAUUUAGAUCACAUUCAUACGGUUGAUAAAAUAAAUAAUAAACAAAAGGAAAAUUUUAGAAAAAGGUUAAGCACACGCGCUGCGCACGCGUGCGAUGGAAUUCUUUAAAACUGUGUGGAGGGUCCUUCUCAACCUUUUCAUCACUCUUCUUCUACUUCACUGAAUUUACGGUAGCCAUCGUCAUCAUCAUAUUUUUUUCCCUAAAGUAUUUGAAUAGAUUUUCUUUUGUAAACUGUGUAUUUGAAAAGAUUAUUCAUCGUAAUAAGUUUUUUUUUUUUUUAUUACACAUCGUAAUAAGUUUAUUUAACUUGCAUGUAUUGAGCGACGACCUCUAGGCGUGCAGCAGACAUAUGUGAAAUCUCCGUGGCGUUUCGUAAUUUAAAGAGUGAUUAGCGUGUCGUUUUAUGUAGAGAAAAACGGCAUGGAUUUCACAUUAGAACCCGUUGUUCAACCUAAGCCCAAUAUGGAAAACGUUUAAAGAACAUAUAAAAGGUCAAUUAGUUCCUUAAUCUUCUGCUUUAGUGUAGCAACAGUAUUUACAAGUGUCGCCUUAUUAUUUCUGUUUACCAAUCAAGAAGAGAACAAGUAUUAGAAAGAAGUAAAUGACUCCUAUUAGUUAGAAAACCAAAAAAAAAACACUCUUUAAGUUGGAGAAGUUUUGAAGGAGAGGAAAAAGCCAAGAGAUGGUGCAUCCUUUGGUUGAUAGAGCCACAAGCGAUAUGCUUAUUGGUCCUGACUGGGCCAUGAACCUUGAGAUAUGUGACAUGCUUAAUCAUGAGCCUGGGUAACGCCCUUUUCAGUACUGUUCCCCAUGAUCUGUGAUGAAUCUGUGAUCUAAAAGGAAUCUCUUUUGUUGGGUUUGGCCUAACACAUUGAACGUAUAUGUCUCGGUUAUGCAUUUGUGUUGGUUAUUGGAUUUAUGUAUUGUUCACAUUUAGAUUUGAUGCUUCUUGGUUCUAUACCGAACUUUUUUGUUCUUUUGGCUUUUAUGAUAAGUGAUUGUGUAUAUGUAGGCAAUAUAGAGAAGUUGUGAGUGGAGUAAAGAAAAGGCUCGCUAGUAGGACUACCAAGGUUCAGCUUUUGGCUCUUACUGUAAGUUCCAUUUGCAAUUUGUUUGAGGGCUCAUGAUUCAUGUUUUCGGUUUGGUUUUGGUUUAGUUUGGUUUGGUUUAGCGAUUUGAAGAAUUAUGGAUACAAAUAUAUACAGACUUUAGAUGAAUACUUGUUAUUCUUAGUUUAAUAUAUUUCAUGAGAAAAUAAAAUUAAAUUAGGAUUGUUUUCAUUGUAGUUGCUGGAAACAAUGAUCAACAAUUGUGGGGAACUCAUUCACAUGCAACUUGCUGAGAAGGACAUUCUUCAUAAGAUGGUAAAGAUGGUCAAAAGGAAGGUUAAUCUCGAUUCUUUGUAACCAUUAUUUUUAUCCGUUAACAUUUUUUUGCGUGACACCAAACUUAUUAUGUUCUUUGUUACACUUAUAGCCUAACAUCCAAGUGAGGGAGAAGAUAUUGAUACUUAUAGAUACUUGGCAAGAGAGCUUCUCAGGUCCUCAAGGAAGACAUCCACAAUAUUAUGCAGCAUACCAAGAAUUGUUGGUAUGUUAUCGUUUUGGCUGAAACAUGCUCAUUUAAAUAGAACCGUUACAUGUUUCAAAUUCUAGGAAGAUUUCGUUUAAAUUCUUUAUCUAUUUUGCAGCGUGCAGGAAUUGUAUUCCCUCAAAGACCUCCUCAACCCACAGUUAGUUCAGGACAAACUGGUCCCUCGACAAUGUAUAAUCAGAAUGCUCGUAACGCUAGACAAGAAGCUAAUGAUACUUCCACAGAGUCAGAGUUUCCUACUUUGAGGUGUUUACCUUUAAUUAUUGCCCCUUGUUUUAUAAGAAUAUACUGAAAAACAAUUAGAGAUUAUUUAUAAAAUAGCACUUUCUUUUUUGUUUUGUUUUGAAGUCUGACAGAAAUUCAAAAUGCAAAAGGGAUUAUGGAUGUCUUAGCUGAAAUGUUGAACGCAAUAGAUGAAAACAACAAAGAGGUAUAUAACAGUUUGGUAACAUUGAAUUAACCAUUUGGAUAAUUUGUUUUUCUUUUACCCAUUUGUAGGGACUUAAACAAGAGGUUAUUGUAGAUCUUGUUAGUCAAUGUCGCACCUAUAAACAAAGAGUAGUACACCUUGUAAACUCUACAUCGUAAGGACCUAAACUUUUACCUAUAUAUAUUGAUGAAUAUAUGAUUUAUAUACCCGUUUUGGUUCAUGUUUCAGAGAUGAAUCGUUGCUUUGCCAAGGCCUAGCCUUAAAUGAUGAUUUGCAGCGGUUACUUGCAAAGCACGAAUCCAUCGCUUCUGGAAACCCUACGCCAGUAAAGGGAGAAAAAUCUAAAAAAGAAGUUGCUAAGGAGGCAAAUCAGAUCAUAGAUGUUGGAUCAAGGUAAGAAUCAGCUCCAGUUAUAAAAUAUUUUAUUUCUCUAAGGAAGCAUGUAGAAGAGGAAAGAUACUUGUGCAGCAAGUUACAUUCUAAAAUGUUUUGAAUUUUUUUUCAGCAGUGAAACGAAAGAUGGUAGUAUUGUGGCUGUUGCACCAAAUGGUCCAAAGAUAGAUCUUCUUAGUGGAGAUGACUUUGAGACACCGAAUGGAGAAAACUCACUGGCACUUGUUCCUCUUGGACCUGCACAACCAAGUAGUCCUGUACCAACACCAGAUAACUCCAUGGUCUUAAUCGACAUGUUAUCAGAUAAUAACUGUGAAAGCUCUACUCCAACUUCGAGUCCACACUCGCAUAAUCAGAUGGUGCCACAAAACUACUCAAAUGGAUUUGGACAAGGGUCAUCUGGUCCUGUCUGGAAUCUCCAAAUUACCCAGCAACCAUCUUCUCCUGCAUACGGAAACCAAAACCAACCCUUUUCACCUACCUUUAGCCCGCCCAUCUCACCGCACUAUGGUAUUCAUCUAAAACUCUGCUUAAUAUCAGUGUUCUAAAGAUCGGUUUAUGCCCUGACUAUGAGCAAAAUCAUAAGCGAAACUAUUUCCGUAAAACGAUUUAAAAAUCGGUUUAGGUGGUCUUUAAGCGCCAGCUUAUGCGCUAAUCAUCUAUAAUACACCUAAUUAUAGCUUAAUUUUUUGUUUGAAAAUUGUUUAAUAUAUAACCGUGUGCAUUAUCUGGGGCUAGUCUUGAUUGUCUUAUUGCUAUAAGGUGGACAAAACAACAAUGUGUUAGCACUACCACCACCACCAUGGGAAGCUCAAUCUCCAAGCUCUAGUCCUCACUACUCUCCUACUCACCCGAUGCAAGUGACUCAAGUUGUCAUCACCACGCACACUCAUCAACCGCUAGGUUACAACCCUCAAGGUGGCUCUCCUCACGCUUUCAACAACAACCCUCAAGGUGGCUCUCCUCACGCUUUCAACAACAACCCUCAAGGUGGCUCUCCUUAUGCUAUCAACAACAACAACAAUAACAUGUUCGGUAUGAUCCCCCCUCCAAUGACAGGAGGCCACAUGCAACCCUUAGGCCAUCACAAUCCUGCUGCCAUGUACGGAGGCUACGGAGGACAGCCUCAGCCACCACAACAGUAUUUUGGAGAACAACAAAUGUACGGAGGCUAUGGAGGACAACCUCAGCUAUCACAAGAGCAGCUUGUAGAACAACAAAUGUAUGGAAUGUCACUUCAAGACAAUGGAGCCAGCAAUGCCAACCCCUACCAAGUGUCUUCUCAUCCUUCGGGUCUUAAUUAUCAGCAACCAAUGAUGAAACCUGUGAACAAGAAACCAGAGGACAAGUUGUUUGGAGAUCUUGUUGAACUCUCCAAGUCAAAGAAACCUACUGAACGAGCCGGUAGUAUGUAAAACCCCACUGUUUCACCAUUUUUCAUAGAGUUUUCAAUUUUAAUGUUGACUUUAUACAAUUUCUUAGAAAAUAAUUCUGAAAGUUUUCUUUUGUCGCCAAAAGUGAAUAAUAUCAUCAUUUUCAUUGGAUAUAUUGUUGUUAUUUCAACUGGAUGAAAAUGCAAACUGAUUGAGAUUAACUUGAACAAAAUACAACAUACAAGUGAAAACAUCACACAACUUUUUUAAUGUACUAUCCUUUGUGAUAAUAUCAAUGAAUGCUAACUUUUUUUUCCCACCAUGACCUUUACCAUUUUUUUACACAUGAAACAAAUUGGAAAAAAAAAGAUAAACACACAAAAGAAAGAAUGCAAUAGGGUUGGGUUGGGAAAAUGGUUCAACCUAUCCAAGCCUCGAUUCUAGCACACGGAGAUAUCUUUAUAACAUCAGGCGGAUCAACAGUAAUGUUCAAACACAAAACCAGAGCUACACAUCCUGUUUUCAUCUGCAAAGACGAAGGAUUAAAGUCAGCAAAGAACAUGAGAUUUGCAAGACUUCCCAGAUCCAAUCAUUAUUUCUAAACAAACAUUGUGAUUGAAGUUUAAAACGCGUGUCUUGGUGCCGUUUCUUGAACUUCUGUUGCAUCAUUUGAGUUUUAAAAUUUGAAUGAACUUUUGCAAAGAUUUAAAAUGUUCAUCACAAGUAGUAGAUCGACCAUGACAAACAUGGUUAUAUAUAGGUAAUAGGUAUAAUUAGUAAUUAGUCUAAUUACUAGUGUAUGAUCCUUUACAUCCGAGUUUACUAUAAUUUCUUUGUGACUUGUAGUUUCAGUACAGAGUAACGAGACAGAGUUACUACUAAAUGAUUCAUGAAUGUGUUUUUAUGAGCUAAGUAGUUACGUCAUUGCGCGAGUUGUCUAUAAUUAAAUCCAUAAACUCUGUCAACCUUGACUUGUUGACUGUGUGUUGUGGCUUUUUUUUACCGUGAUUGCAUCCUUCCACUACUUUUUAAUUUGCAAUUGUCCCAUUAAAUAAUCAUUAAAGGACAUGAACAUAAAGCGAACAGUUCAUAUGUUUGAAUAACAUCAAGGGCCAAAUCAAAAGUGAGCUGAAGAGAUCACACCUGCCUUUUCUCUCUCUCUCAUAAACUUCUGAAUCUCAAGUUUGAGAAACACACAGAAUUUCGAUGAUGAGGAAGACGCUGAGCAUACUUGAAGAGCUCAUCUUCGUGCUGAUGAGCCUAGCCUCAGCGAUCACGACAGCUCUCCGGACGUCGCCUUCUUUCUCCGCCGGAUCUUCCACCACCUCCUCACCUUUGAUGACCAACCGUAUCACCUUCGCCCCACAGUUUUUUCUUUGAAAUUUCACUAUUAUCAUUACAUGUAUGUUAUUGUGUAUUGUGUAUAUACCGCUUGAAAUACAAACUUUAAUAAUUGUAUGUUUUGUGAUACACUUGGGUACUAAAAACAGAAAAAUUGUAAUUUCACUAUUUGUAUUGACUCAUUUAUAUAGCAAAACAUCCAUGUAUAAAUACAAGUAUAACAACGUAGAGGAUGAGAUGAUAUCAAGAUUCAUGAGUGAUCAAAUUCAACAAAAUCUAUUUUGGGUUGGGUUUUUUUUUACGGUUAUAGUUAGGAUUGUUUGUUUAUAAUGAAGUACUAGACUUUGACCCGCGCGCCUGCGCGGGUGUAUAUUUUAAAAAAUAUGUUGAUAUUUGUUUUUCAUGUAAUUAUUAGGAUUUGAAAAAAUGAAUCCGAUGAACAUAACCGAUACCGAUCCAAAAAUAUAGUACCAAACCCGAACAUAAAUUGAUUAAAUAUUCUAAUUAUUCAAAAAAAAUUAUUUAGAGAACCGAAUCUGAUCCGAACCGAAGUAUUCGGGUACCCGAAUUUAUCUAAAAUAGAUUUAUAUACUUAUAUAUAUUAAUUAUUUUAGAUUUAACGUAUAUAAAACAUCAAGAAUGAUACUUUUAAAUUGGUUUAAAUACUUGAAAAUAUAUAUAGAUAGUCAAAAGUAAAUAUCUGAAAUAGUUAAAGUAUACUCAAAUCACCAAAAAUACUUAAAAUAAUUAUUGAUUCUGUAUCCAAAAUUUUAAAUCAAGUCAAUUGAUAUGUUAAGCUUAGGUAUUCUGACAUAUGUUAUUCAAAUUUAUACGUAAUAUAUUAUUUUAUUUAUACAUUUUGAGAAAUUUAAAAUAUAUAAUGAUUUAAAACUUUAAAAUAAUUUAAAUUAGUUAUCCAAACCCGAACCAAACUCGCAAAAAUCCGAAUCAAACCAAAAUUUAGAAACAUUCUGAUAAGGAUGAAAUCUUUGACCCCGAAAACCCGAAAUGCAAACCGAUCAGAACCAAACCCGCAUGGGUACCCAAAAGCCCAUCCCUAGUCAUUAUUAUAUAUCGUAUUUUGUCAUCAUAUAAUUAAUCGUAUUUUAUAUGUACCAUCAUAUAAGUAAUCAUAUAAUUAAUAGUAUUUUAUACAUACCAUCAUAUAAAUAAUUACAUAUAUUAUAUUUUUAAAACUUAAUAUGAAAUAUAAAAACCAUAAUUUGAGUUGGUAUUUCAAAUUGGACUUUGUAUUGUAUUUUUCUUAUAUAUAUUGACAAUAUUUUUUUAUAAUGGUUAUUGAAAAAUAGUUUAGUAAAAAUCCAUUUUUGAAUAUAUGUAUAUUUUUGAAUCAAUUUUUGAUAUAAAUCAACUUUGAAUUAUUAUUUUGAUUUGAAAUAUGUAUAUAAAGUUUAUAUUUUGUUUUAUGGUUAGUUUAGAAGAAAAAAAAAUUUAGGCAAUUAGAUUGACCCAUUUUGGUAUAUUUUAAAAACUGGCCUAGAUAGAUAGUUUCUUAUAAUAUGAUGAACUUUCAAUUUUUUUAAAAACAUAAACCCAUUACUUUUUUUCUUAAUACUACUAUCCUUGUUUUCAAACAAAUCUUUUUUUUUAAAAGACUAUAAUCCAUGUUUCCAAACACUCCAAAUUUUUUAAUAAUCUUAUUCAAGUCUCCAAACACUCCAAUUUUGUACUAUAGAUGUUAUCUUAAAUGUUUGAAGGAAUUUACAUUAUAGUUCCGGUUAAGUUUUGUUUUUUUCGAUUUAUAAAAAACAAUUUGACCAGUCUUAUUUCUUCUAUUCUUUUUAUUAUUGGAUCGGUAUUGCUUUGACUAUUGAAUGUAGCUAACUUUUUAUUUGACCCAUUGAAUGGAGAGUCUUUAUUCUAGAAAGAGUUUUUAAGUCAGUCUUUAGUCUUUGACAAACUCAACUCCUAUCAUCAAUCCUCUUCCUCUCACAUCCUCGAUGACUAAAAAACACACAAGAUAAAAUAGAAAAUUUCAGCAUAUGAGUGAUUAUGAGAGGAGUGAUUCUGAAGACAUUCACUUUGAAGCCACCUUUAGCCAUGAACUCUCACAUUUCUUUAUAGCAAAAGAUAAAUAUUCAAUGCAAUUAUAAAAACGUAGAUGAUGAUUCAUGAGUGAUUUUUAUAUGGUUAUAGAUAUCUUAAAUGUUUGAAGGAAUUUACAUUCUAUAUGGUUUUAGUUCGUUUUGAUUUUUUCGAAAUCUAAAGAACAGUUUGACCAAACUUAUUUUUUUUUAUUGGGUUUGCUUUGACUAUUAAUGAAUGUAGUUUGAUCAUUUAAAUGGAGUUUCUGUUCAUAAAAAAUAUUUUUUGAUUUUUUAAGUGGCGGUUUUCGACAAACUCCUCGCUUGUAAGAAAACUAUCUUGUCUAAUUAUGUAACUUAUAAAAGUCAUUACAAUAUAUUUUAACCAAUUCAUUAUCUAUUUUUUAGAAAAAAGUGGAGUGUCCAAAACAUGAACAAAACUAAACCUAGUAUGAAUAGAUGGUAUAUACAUCAUAUCUUUAGAUUCACAAUUUACAAGUUAUAUAUUUUUUUUUUUGAAAAAGCUGAAAUCACAUCGGAUUUACCUGUUUCCAAACCCAAGGACGUUGUCAUGAUAACUAUAAAUGUAGACAUCUUGGUUUUGCAAAGCAAUGACAUCCACAAAGUCAUUUUGCAAAAAAAACUAUGAGUUCUUAUGGGGUAAGACUGUAAGUAGAAUAUCAUAUUUUUCUAUAUUUUUUUUAUCAUUUUUAUUUGGUUAGAUUGUCUUUUUAGAACUUCUCAAUCGUGAAGUUCUAAUACUACAAUCUAAUAAAGUAACUAGUUUGUAACUCAAUUAUGCACACACCAUUGAAACAUUACAUUUUAACAAAUUUCCAUUUGUAAACACAUCCAUAUUUGAUAAAUCAAAUUGAAAUUACCUAAUUGUAUAUCUUAAUUGGUAUUAUUCAUGUAAAAACAAUCAAGGGAAUGUCAAUUUUGGACUAUACGUAUGUUUUAACAAUUAGUCUAUAUGUCCUUGCUUUGCUGAAAAGGUACCAUUGUCUAAUGAGGUUUAUAUGGUUGUUAUUUUUGUGUAAUCAAAAUCUAUGAAUCAUAAGUAAUUACUUUGUUGAAAAUGUGUCAAUGGUAUCAUUUGUCUAAUUUUGUCCUUUCAAAUGACCAUUCAUAUGAUACUGGUAGUAACGGAAAUUACAUUAAGAAAAAAUACAAUUAAAUAUAAAACAUUUCUACAAAUUGUAUAUAUGAUAGUAUAUAUUUCUUUAUUUCUUUUAUUUUUUGGCAUGAUUAUUUUUCUUUUCAAGAAACAAACAAAUUAUCUUAAAAUAUCACAUAACUGACAAUAAGCUUUAUUGAAUUUAUUUCCUUUUCAUUAUAUCUAUAAAUAUUUUAAAUAAUGAGAUAAAUAUUUGUCCAAAACUUUUAUACCAAGAUUAGAUUAAAAAAUGGAUACACUUUUAAUUCCUUCUCAUCCUUCUGCCAUUUAGACUCGUACAUCAUGAUAUCCUAACGGUACACUAAGGUGCUUCUCAAAUGCAUGCUUAAGCUUUAUGGUAGCUCAAGAACCGAUGGAUACUAUGUUUAACUCAUGUCUCUUCACUUGGGAUUUUAUCCUCCUAAAAAAGCUACUUGCUUUUAUAAAAAAAAAAAUUACUUGCAGAUAUUCUCUAAAUAAGUAAAAACUGCGUUAAUAAAAAUCAUAAGUAAUUGAAUAUAAAACAUUUCUGCAGAUUUAUAUAUAUAUAUAUAUAUAUAUAUAUAUAUAUAUGAUAGUAGAUAUUUCUUUAUCUCUAUUAUUUAUGGCAUGAUUGUUUUUCUUUUCAAGAAAACAAACAAAAUAUCUUAAAAAUAGCAUGUAACUGCAUUUAUUUUAUUUUUUGAAAGUAUUUAUAUCAGCAAAACAUCAUUUAAAAAAAAUAAGUUUUUUAAGUCACUGUCUUUGACAAACUCAACUCUUAAUCCUAUCACAUGAUUACUAAAACACAGAAGAGAAGACAGAAGAUUUCAAUAGAAGAAACAAAAAAAUAAUUUUUUGAAGUAUCUUUAAUUUGUAUCAGUAAAAAAAAAGUAUCUUUAAUUUGUACAAGAACUUGAAACCAAACUUAAGCUGCAGCCAAACGGUAAUAUCUAACAUCUGUUUACAUUCACAUAAGCAAGUUAUGUACGAAUUUGCUAUGGUUAACUAUCUACCAUUACCGAGAGAGGCCGUAGAAACCUCCGUGGAAAACGAAAACGUAGUCGAGCUCGACGCUAUAUCAGAUGAAACAUUACAUGCAACAUUCGCCCUUAGAUGAUCUCUAGAAGAAUCUGAAAACCCCAAGUUUCCAUCAAUCUCCGGAAGAUCCUCGUCCCCAUUCAAAUAUCUAAUCACGUUCCUCAUCGUUGGCCUAGCCGUUGGUUUCUGAUGGCAACAUAACAACCCCACAACGAGAGCUAGCUUCGCCUCUCUACCGUUAAAACUAGACCCGAGUUUCUGAUCAACCGCGCGAAGCACUCCACCGUUCGUGUGAAAGUCCAUAACCCAAUCAGCUAAAAAGAAGUUCUCCGUAUUCGUCGGCCUCUUCCCGCACACAAUCUCCAACAACAAAACGCCAAACGCGAAAACGUCAGACGCGGUCGAGCCUUUCCCGUUGCGCGUGAGCUCAGGCGCCAUGUACCCUAACGUCCCGACCACUUUCGUGGUCUGCGUUAGCGUUCCGCGUUCGUAAAGCCUCGCGAGCCCGAAGUCUCCCAGCUUAGCGUUCAUCUCAGCGUCCACGAGAACGUUACUGGUUUUCACGUCUCUGUGAAUCACGACCUGCUCCCACUCCUCGUGGAGAUACAACAGCCCCGAGGCGACUCCCUUUAUGAUCUCGAAACGCUCCUCCCACGUCAAAACGACUCCGUUUCGCCUCGGCGUUGUGUAAAGCAGCGAGUCGAGGCUACCGUUGGGGAUAUAAUCGUAAACCAACAAGAGGUCUUUCUUGUGUUUGCACCAUCCUUGAAGGUUCACUAGGUUCUUGUGGCUUAACCUACCUAAGCUCUCGAUCUCCGCCACAAACUCUCUAAAACCUUGUUGGCUUGUUUGAGUUAUCCUCUUCACCGCGACAGCCCCCAAAGACGGUAAGUUUCCUCUGUACACGGUCCCGAACCCUCCCGAGCCGAUGAUCUCACUCUCUUUGAAUCUCUUAGUAGCUAAGUAGAGAUCUUUGUAAUUAAACCUGUGAGGAUAAUCAAUCUCCCAAUCCUCUAAAGCCUCUCCUUCUUCUAUCCGCCUCUUGUACAUAACGAAUACAAACAGCAAGGCAAGGAGGAACAGGGUGACGAUCGAUAAAGAUGCAAUCAAGGCUACGACUGGAGAGUCGUAGCCUUUCUUGCUGCUCACGUUUGGAGGCGGACGAGGGAGGAGAGAGACAUUGAGCCAGCUAGAUACUGGACUCUCUCCACAUGAGCUGGCGAAGCUCCAACCCAUCACGUAGUGAGCGCUAGACUGGCCUUUGCCAGUCGCGGAGGUGAACCCCACGUACACCUCCUCCUUCGUCACGAUCUGCGACAAGUUCAAAACUUGUCGCGAGAUCAUAGGCGUCUCGGGUUUGAACCCGAUUCGCGUAGGAUAGACUGUAACGUUUAAACUGUCGGUUGGUCCAUCGUAGUCCAGAUGAGCUUGGAUCGGUUCUCCGCUCUCUAGCUGAAAAUCCUCUUUUCGAUCAUCCGUGUCGUGGUAAAUGAUGGGCUCCUGUACAGCCGAGGAGAGGUUGUUGAAGUCGAGACCGACGUGGUUUCCUCUCCUGUCGUCUCCGUCUUUGAACCCUUGCACCGUGUCGAACUCCACGGCGAAGACGUGGUUGGACGGAUCUCCGUUGCUGGAUCUGUUCAGAAGGCCUAAAUACUGAGCUGACUCGGCUCCGGGACGGUUCGGGGUCGGCGAAAGCGUGAAUGUGAAGCCGAAACCGCCGUUUCCGGGACUAGAUGGGAUUAUGACGAAGACGAAAGAUGUGCUGAAGGAACAUAGUUUGUUGGAUGACCCGUCACGGAGUCUGAUUGGUUCGCGGUAGAACGCUGUUCCGGUCACGUUGUGGUCCCGGUUAGUUAGUCUGAGUAGACCAUCGGUUUCUUGAAUCGUCGCUGCUUGUUCGGUUUGAAUUUCGGUUUGGUUUCCUCUGAAACCAAGGAAAGUGAACACUGUUGUUGUGGAGGCGUCAGCGAGAACGUUUGAUGAUAGAAAGAGCAGGAACAUGAGUGUUGGUAUGGAUCUUCUUGCUAUGCCCAUUGAGAAUCUUGAGCUUUCUUGACUUUGAUGAUGGUAUGAAGUAAGAGAUCUUUUUAAGGCAUACGCAAAUUUCAAGAGCAUGGACUUAUGCUUUAGAUGCCGGAAUAUUAGAAAUGUUAAAAGUCAAGGUCUUUCGGACAAUGUGUGUGGUCUGUUAUUUCGAGUCAUUUGUGUGGAGGAGAUGAAUGACCUUCAAAUCAAUUUCAAUGAAUUUGAGUUAUUAAUGUGGACAAAACGAAACUAUCAAGACAGAAGAAUAUUACGCGGUUCUGACUUAUAGUUGGAAGUCAAAAGAGAGCACUAAGUUGGUGUAUUCAAAUUAUCAAUUGAAGUCAUUUGAUUUUUUGUAAAAAAGUUUAAAUGAUUUGAGAUGAAUUGAAAAUAAAAAACCAAUUUUAGUUAAAUCAUCUUGAAUUAUGAGAUUUUACCUUUUGACUAAUAAAUUUCAACCAAACACUCUAAAAAUAUUAUAAAUAUCUCAAAAUUCAAAAACAAAAUUAGUAGCAGUAGAUGUAAAAGUAGUACAUAUCAAAUUUAUUAAUUUAUUUAUACUAUUAAAAUUGAAGUACAUUUUAGAAAUAACUUUUUAAUAUUACACUUUUUGCCAUUGGAAAUAACAUUGCUCUUUCAAUCAAUCGUAAUGUCAUUUUCCUAAUUUAACAUCACAAAAUAAAAGCCCAUUCGAAAUACUUACGUAACUUACUAAUAAUCAUUGGUUGCCUCUUAAACCAGUCUUUUUUUUUUUCAUCUAAAUAGAUUUUAUUAAUAUACCAACGUACAAAUAGAGUUAUAGAAUCAUAUACAAAGCAAUAUGAAAUACAAAUUAUUACAUAAGCAGAACAUAUGCUGAAGACAAAUCAUUCCUAGAAGUGAAGAAAACUCUCUAUCAAAGAAUAUGCGACAUAACCAGUCUAUUUGAUAGAGAGAUCCAAUUAUCAAUUUUAUUGUGGACAAAACGAAACUAUUAAGACAAAAAUAUUAUGCGGUUCUGACUGCGCACUAAGAUCAUAUCGAACCCAUAACACUAUUUUAAUGUCAAAAUCAUAUUCUUUUGGUGUAGUUUCAACACUAAAAAAAAUGUUUUUCUCCAAUCAUAACACUAAAUUUCACUGUUAUUUUAUAAUAUUAUAUAUAUUUAACUUUUUAUUUGUUAUUUAUUUAAUUGUAUAUUUUAUUAAUAAAAUAAGUGAAUAAUCUAUUAAUGGAGUGAAUAGUAUUAUAGUGUGGUGAAUAGUAUCACACCAAAUUUGAUGUAAAAUUAUAGUGUGAUACUAAAAUGUUGUGAUUUUUGCAGUUGGGUUGAAGAUUUUUAAUAGUGUUUUGCAGUUUGGUUGGAGAUUGACCUAAAGUGGUGUAUUCAAUUUAUCAUUGGAAGUCAUAUGAUUUUUGUUAAAAAAAAGUUUCUAAGAUGACUGAAAAUUUAUGAUAAUUUUAGUUAAAUCACCCUUUACUAUCAAAUAUGAGAUUUUAUUUUAACUAAUAAACUCCAACCAAACACUUUAAAAAUGGUUAGAAGAAUCUUAAAAUUCACAAAAAAUAUUAAUAACAGUAGAUUUUGAAGUAAUUUAUCAAAUAUUAAAUUUAAUAACACUGAAUUUGAAAAAAAAACCAAUGUUCAAAUAACAAUGAUCAUAAAUUAAGUUGGCCUAUUCCGAAAAGAUGUGCUAGGCCCAUAUUCUUUAAAGCAAUAGUAAAAACAGAGUGUAAUCAAAUUAAACUGAUUCUUCCAAGUGAAAUUCGAAAAUCAAAAAUCAAAAUUUCAGAUCUUUCCUCUCAUCUUCUCCCUCCUCUCCUCUUCUCUUCUAGAGACAACAGGCGAAAGUCACUCACUUGCAACUUCGAUUUCAGCAAUCUCCAAUUCCUCCUGGUGAGGGUUUAGAGAAGCUCUGAGAAUCUAAAAGCUUAGGGCUUUACUUUACCGCCCGUUUCAAAAAAAAUGGGGAACCUUUCGGAGAGCUUCGACAUCGAAGAUCUGAUGUCAUACGGCGACGACUUGAUCAGCUUACUGAACGCCAAGAACGGGUUCGACGUAGUAUCGCAAAGCUUCGAGGACUUGAAAGCUCUCCGCUUUGUUUGCGACGAGGAUUUGAAUCAGACGCAGAGAUCUAUCCAAGGUCAGUUCUUUUCGAUCUGGGUCUCUAGAGAAACUUCGAAAGACUUAAACUUUACAGUGGUUUGACUUCAUAAAUGCAGAUUGUAAGAAGAAGCUCGUUGCUUGCAAGAAGAAAACAGAGGAAGCUUCGUGUGGAGAUGACGACGUUGAGCGUCUUCAGAAGGAGCUUGACGAAGAGAUGGAGAUAGAGUGCAAGCUCAAAGACGAGCUUAGAUAAGUAUUAGUGAAAUUACCCUAUAGUCCCUUUGGUUCAGUGUUAUGAAAAGUGUUUUGUUCUUGUCAAUACAGUAGUUGCUGAGGAACUCAAAGACUUGAAUGCACAGUGGACGUCUGUUGAUGAGCAAAGACAAUCUGUUAAGAGAAAAGAGCGGGACGACUUGAGAGCUGAGUAAGAUCCACAAAACCAGUUUCCUCUUCUGAAUGUUGCUUUUUUUUUCAAUCUUUGUUGGGUUACAUCUGCAGGAAAAUGCUCUCUAUGUAUGCUUCUGUUACAAAAGUUAUACCAGAGGUUGAGGAUCCAUCGAAGAUCUCAGGAUGUAUCCUUUUCUUUCACUAUCUCUAUACUCUCUUUACUUUAAGAGUCUCUUUUUUUUAUUCCUUGAUUUAUAUAUAUUUAUUUAGAUAUGGUUGAUCGCGAGAAGAAGGUUAUUGAGAAGUUCCAGUUUGAGACAAAUAAAAUGACGGCUUAUGAGACAUGCAACAGUAUCUGGAGCAUCAUUAACAAGCAAUAAGACAAGACGUGGUGGCACGCACGAGUUUAGUUGUUUGAUGUGUCUGAAUAGAUUUGGUUUUAGCUUAGCAACCAAAAACAUUCGUACCACCCAUCUACGGUUCCUUGGAUGUAAACCCAUCCUGCUUAGUUUUUCAUUGCCCUUUUGUAAUUUGAUUAUGAAUCUUAUUCUCCUGUAACAUCAUCAUCAAUCAUCAUUUAUGAAAAUUUCCCUUGCAAGUAUCAGUGUACCUGUAAAAUCAUCUUCUCUUGUUGUGCCAUUUUCUUGAUAAAUCUUCAUGUGUAGAUUGAUGCAAGUUCCGAUUGUUUGUACAUAUUACAAAGGGUGAAUCAGUGCUUUAGUUUCUACACAUUUCAGCUGCUGCUAUUACCUUAGCUUCUCCGUUGAACUAUGUAACCUGCUUAUUGUAAACAGAGAUGUUUCAUAUCUUCAUGCAAGGUUCGUAGAACAAACAGACAAAAGCUAUGUUGCUAUGUUUUCGUCAAAAUGAUUCUUUAGGAAUCUUUUUGUUGAGCCUUUGUAUAUAAAAACACACACAAAAGUUUAUAAAACUCUAAGCAAAUUAAAAAGUAAGCAAAGAACCUAAACGUAGUUCUUCUUUUAUUCAGUAUAAUAACAACUUAUAAGCAAACAAAAAAAUAAAACUAAAACCCCAAAACCAAAAGCUGUGUUGAGAAACCUAACUGCCAAGUGAAACCCCAAAUGUAGCAGACAGAGUCCAGAGACAUCAUCUAACAAGACGAAAACAUCCGUUUGAUUCCAGACUUCUGCUCUGUCGUUAGCCUCGAAGGGAACUUAACAUUGAACUUGAUCCUCAAGUUUCCCUUUUUCGACGGGUCUUUAGGGAUAGGCAUGCCUUCGCCUUUCACAACCUCUUCAUAGGAAGGGCUGAUCACGUUGUUGACCGGAACCGUUAGCGUUCUCCCGUCCAAAGUCGUGACCUGAGCAGUGUACCCCGUGAGUGCUUCCACGAGAGGGAUCUUCUGCGUGAUCACAAGGUCGUUCCCGUCUCUCUUGAACACAGCGUGCGGCUUCUCGUCGACUAUGAAUACGAGGUCUGAUGGUAUGAUUCCUCUCUGCUCGUUUCCUUUCUCGGGGAAUGUUAUCUUUGUCCCUUUCUUCCAUCCUGGUUUGAUCUCUAUCGUUAAGAUCUCUUCCACCGUAGUGGGUCUCCUGCAUUGUAACAAAAAACUCGUUUUUCUUUAACUUGCAUUACUAAUAUCAAUAACACAGAAGCUACGAAAAUGACCAGUGUUCUAAAAAUCGGUUGAUUCUAGGCGUUCAAAAAAUUGGUCUAGACGCCUAAGUUGAGUCUAAAGGAAACAAUUUUUAUUAAAAUUUGUCUAGGCGUUUAAAAAAUUGGUUUAGACGCCUAAAUCGAGUCUAAAUAAAAUAUUGAUUCUUAAAAAAAUCUGUCUAGACAUUCAAAAAAUCGGUCUAGGUUUCCGAAUAAACAAUAAUUUUCUAAAAAAGCGCAUAACCCACCGCCUAGCGAUUUCUUAAACAUUGAAAGUAACUCUUCAUAUCCUCAAAAGUUCAACUCGGACUCGGUCAAGUACUAUGUCAAGUGCUCAAAAACUCAAGUAAAACAGGAUUCACAUAACUCAAUGUUCAUGAGUGAGUAGUUUCUAGCAUUACAUCUCCAUCUAUCUAUCUAUCUAUCCAGGUAACUUCUUAAACUUCAAUGCAUAGCAAGCAAUGUAGGUGAAAAAUAAUGGGCCAACACAAGCUGAAGAAAGUACCAGCUAGAAUCAAGAACGUCCCUCGAGAUCUUCAUCUUCUUAGUGAUACCUUUAUACAAAUCCUCCAAGCUACAAGGAAGCUGUCUCUCUAUAGGAGCAGCUUUCCUCGGUGGAGCAACAUUAAAGGUUUCUGGUGCAGCGGACCUAUAAGACGAGAAAACGUCUUCAGCGAACCUAAACCCAUCACCAGGGGGUCUCGAGAAGCCAAAGAACUCCGAGAAGAUGUCGUCAGCGCUUCUGCCGUUGAACCUGAACGAAGCCCCUCUGUCUGAACCACCAGGAAACCCGCCGGGACCAGGAGGCGGAGCUUGGCUGUUUAGACCUUCUUCUCCGUAUUGAUCGUAGAUUGCUCGCUUCUGAGGAUCGCUCAGUACCUAAGAUCAAUGCAAACCAAUCAGAACAGAUCAUUAACACUUUUGUCCCCAUAAAGUUUUGUGAUUUGGUAACUAAAGAGCUGCUCAAAAUUCAAAUUCCGACAAAGAUUAGAACUUUCAAUGGAAAAAAGACAAAACACGAAUCAAAACAUCAUAAGAACAGAUCACUAACACUUCUGUCCACACAAAGUUUUGUCCUUUGGUAACUAAAGAGCUGCUCAAAAUUCAAAUUCCGACAAAAGACUAGAACUUUCAAAAACAUCAUAAGAACAGAUCAUUAACACUUUUGUCCCCAUAAAGUUUUGUAAUUUUGGUAACUAAACUCAAAUUCAAAUUCCGACAAAGAUUUGGAACAUUCAAUAGAAAACGAAAACGGGUUUCGGUUGCAUAUGGAUUUUAAACUCGAGUUGUGUAAGAGAAUUUUUUUACAUCGUAAGCUUCGGAGAUCUGUUUGAAUUUGGCUUCUGCUUCUAUUUUGUUGUUAGGGUUCUUGUCGGGAUGCCACUUCAUGGCGAGUUUGCGAUAAGCUUUCUUCAAAUCUUCAUCUUUAGCACUUCGAUCAACUUGAAGAACCUUGUAAUAAUCGACCCCCAUUGAAUCGAAUCUUUCCUCUUCGCUCUUCGUUCUCACAACUCGUGAUCUUCUUCAAUUAAAACUCAAAACGAUCAUGCCCUACCGGUUUAGAUUUAUCAUCGAGCGGUUCUUCUAUUUGAUCUUAGGCGGUUUGACUAUAAGAAUCGUUGGGCCGAUCACGCUUCCUAAGAAAUGGAUCCAUUUGGGAUAUACAUUGGGCUUUAGAUGGGCCGUAAAUUUACCAUGUUCAAUGACGAAUAUACGCUCCUUGUUGGAGUGAAGCCGUGAUCUUCUAUUAUAGGAUUCAAUAUAUAAAGUAUUUACCAAAAACUCAAUAUUUUCGAAUGGGUUAACAAUACGUUUUGAAAAAUUUUCAAAAAAUACUACAAUAUUUUUUUAAUGCAUAGUUACAUUCUGCACUAAUAUAUGAUGAUGCUCAAAGAGGUUUGGAGCCUUUGUUAUCUCCGUUUUUCAAGAAAAUAUUGAUUUUAUAGUGGUUAUUCUAUCGAUUAAGAAGUAUUAUGAUGUUUUACUAAAUUAAUUGAUAAUCAAAUUAUAACGAUUACCAUAUACCAUGAAAAAAGCUUAAAUUACAUUACUACAAGUGUAGAAUGUGGUUAGAAAUUUUAAAACAACACUAACGAUUAUAGGCUGUAUAUAAAAAAUUUACCAAAAACUCAAUAUUUUCGUAGAGGUUAACACAUGGAUUUUGAAUUUUUUUUUAAAAAAAUGACAAUAUUGUUUUAAUGCAUAGUUGUAUCCUGCACUAUCAUAUGAUGAUGUUCAAAGAAGUAUGAAGCCUUUGUUGUCUCUAUUUUUCAAGAGAAUAGUGAUUUUAAAAUGGAUAGUCCACUAAUUUUGGGAGUUUAUGAAGUUUUACUAAAUUAAUUUAUAAAAACAAUUGAACGAUGUUCAUUUACCAUUAAAAAGAGUUUAGCACACAUUAAUAAAAAUGUAUAAUAUGGUUAGAAAUUUUAAAACAACACUAAAUAUUAUAGGCUUUAAUAUAUAAAGUAUUUACCAAAAACUCAAUAUUUUCGAAGGGUUUAACACAUAGAUUUUGAAAAAAAUUCAAAAAAUAAAACAAUAUUGUUUUAAUGCAUAGUUGCAUCCUGCACUAAUAUAUGAUGAUGCUCAAAGAGGUUUGGAGCCUUUGUUGUCUCUAUAUUUCAAUAGAAUAGCGAUUUUAAAAUUGUUAGUCCACUAAUUUUAGGAGUUUAUGAAGUUUUACUAAAUUAAUUUAUAAAAACAGUUGAACGAUGUUAAUUUACCAUGAAAAAGAGUUUAGCACAUAUUAAUACAAAUAUAUAAUAUGGUUAGAAAUUUUAAAACAACACUAAAUAUUAUAGGCUUCAAUAUAUAAAGUAUUUACCAAAAACUCAAUAUUUUCGAAGGGGUUAACACAUAGAUUUUGAAUUUUUUUUUAAAAAUACUACAAUAUUGUUUUAAUGCAUAAUUGCAUCCUGCACUAAUAUAUGAUGAUACUCAAAGAGGUUUGGAGCCUUUGUUGUCUCCGUUUUUCAAGAAAAUAUUGAUUUUACAGUAGUUAUUCCAACGAUUUAAGGAGUAUUAUGAAGUUUUAAUAAAUUAAUUGAUAAAAAAAUUAUAGCGAUUCUCAUAUACCAUGAAAUAGAGCUUAAAAUACAUUAAUACAAAAGUAGAAUGUGGUUAGAAAUUUUAAAACAACACUAUGGAUCAUAGGCUUCAGUAUAUAAAACAUUUACCAAAAACACAAUAUUUUCGUAGAGGGUUACACAUGGAUUUUGAGAAAAUUUCAAAAAAUAUGACAAUAUUGCUUUAAUGCAUAGUUGCAUCCCUCACUAACAUAUGAUGAUGUUCAAAGAGGUAUGGAGCCUUUGUUGUCUCCAUAUUUCAAGAGAAUAGCGAUUUUAAAAUGGUUAGUCCACUAAUUUUGGUAGUUUAUGAAGUUUUACUAAAUUAAUUUAUAAAAACAGUUGAACGAUGUUCAUUUACCAUGAAAAAGAGUUUAGCACACAUUAAUACAAAUGUAUAAUAUGGUUAGAAAUUUUAAAACAACACUAAAUAUUAUAGGCUUCAAUAUAUAAAGUAUUUACCAAAAACUCAAUAUUUUCGAAGGGGUUAACAAUACGUUUUGAAAAAAAUUCAAAAAAUACUACAAUAUUGUUUUAAUGCAUAGUUGCAUUCGGCACUAAUAUAUGAUGAUGCUCAAAGAGGUUUGGAGCCUUUGUUGUCUCCGUUUUUCAAGAAAAUAUUGAUUUUAUAGUGGUUAUUCCAUCGAUUAAGAAGUAUUAUGAUGUUUUACUUAAUUAAUUGAUAAACAAAUUAUAAUGAUUACCAUAUACCAUGAAAAAGAGCUUAAAAUACAUUACUACAAGUGUAGAAUGUGGUUAGAAAUUUUAAAAUAACAUUAAUGAUUAUAGGCUUUAGUAUAUAAAAAAUUUACCAAAAACUCAAUAUUUUCAUAGAGACAAAUGGAUUUUGAGAAAUUUUCAAAAAAUAUGACAAUAUUGUUUUAAUGCAUAGUUGCAUCCUGCACUAACAUAUGAUGAUGUUCAAAGAGUUAUGGAGCCUUUGUAUUCUCUAUUUUUCAAGAGAAUAGCGAUUUUAAAAUGGUUAGUCCACUAAUUUUGGGAGUUUAUGAAGUUUUACUAAAUUAAUUUAUAUAAACAAUUGAACAAUGUUCAUUUACCAUGAAAAAGAGUUUAGCACACAUUAAUAAAAAUGCAUAAUAUGGUUAGAAAUUUUAAAACAACACUAAAUAUUAUAGGCUUCAAUAUAUAAAGUAUUUACCAAAAACUCAAUAUUUUCGAAGGGGUUAACACAUAGACUUUGAAAAAAAUUUAAAAAAUACGACAAUAUUGUUUUAAUGCAUAGUUGCAACCUGAACUAAUAUAUGAUGAUGCUCAAAGAGGUUUGGAGCCUUUGUUGUCUCCGUUUUUCAAGAAAAUAUUGAUUUUACAGUAGUUAUUCCAACGAUUUAAGGAGUAUUAUGAAGUUUUACUAAAUUAAUUGAUAAAAAAUUAUAACGAUUCUCAUAUACCAUGAAAUAGAGCUUAAAAUACAUUAAUACAAAAGUAGAAUGUGGUUAGAAAUUUUAAAACAACACCAUGGAUCAUAGGAUUCAUUAUAUAAAACAUUUACCAAAAACACAAUAUUUUUGUAGAGGGUAACACAUGAACUUUGAGAAAAUUUCAAAAAAUAUGACAAUAUUGCUUUAAUGCUUAGUUGCAUCCUUCACUAAAAUAUGAUGAUGUUCAAAGAGGUAUGUUGUUUCUAUAUUUCAAGAGAAUAGCGAUUUUAAAAUUGUUAGUCCACUAAUUUUGGGAGUUUAUGAAGUUUUACUAAAUUAAUUUAAAAAAACUGUUGAACGAUGUUAAUUUACCAUGAAAAAGAGUUUAGCACAUAUUAAUACAAAUAUAUAAUAUGGUUAGAAAUUUUAAAACAAUAAUAAAUAUUAUAGGCUUCAAUAUAUAAAGUAUUUACCAAAAACUCAAAAUUUUCGAAGGGGUUAACACAUAGAUUUUGAUUUUUUUUUAAAAAAUACUACAAUAUUGUUUUAAUGCAUAAUUGCAUCCUGCACUAAUAUAUGAUGAUACUCAAAGAGGUUUGGAGCCUUUGUUGUCUCCGUUUUUCAAGAAAAUAUUGAUUUUACAGUAGUUAUUCCAACGAUUUAAGGAGUAUUAUGAAGUUUUAAUAAAUUAAUUGAUAAAAAAAUUAUAGCGAUUCUCAUAUACCAUGAAAUAGAGCUUAAAAUACAUUAAUACAAAAGUAGAAUGUGGUUAGAAAUUUUAAAACAACACUAUGGAUCAUAGGCUUCAGUAUAUAAAACAUUACCAAAAACACAAUAUUUUCGUAGAGGGUUACACAUGGAUUUUGAGAAAAUUUCAAAAAAUGACAAUAUUGCUUUAAUGCAUAGUUGCAUCCCUCACUAACAUAUGAUGAUGUUCAAAGAGGUAUGGAGCCUUUGUUGUCUCCAUAUUUCAAGAGAAUAGCGAUUUUAAAAUGGUUAGUCCACUAAUUUUGGUAGUUUAUGAAGUUUUACUAAAUUAAUUUAUAAAAACAGUUGAACGAUGUUCAUUUACCAUGAAAAAGAGUUUAGCACACAUUAAUACAAAUGUAUAAUAUGGUUAGAAAUUUUAAAACAACACUAAAUAUUAUAGGCUUCAAUAUAUAAAGUAUUUACCAAAAACUCAAUAUUUUCGAAGGGGUUAACAAUACGUUUUGAAAAAAUUUCAAAAAAUACUACAAUAUUGUUUUAAUGCAUAGUUGCAUUCUGCACUAAUAUAUGAUGAUGCUCAAAGAGGUUUGGAGCCUUUGUUGUCUCUGUUUUUCAAGAAAAUAUUGAUUUUAUAGUGGUUAUUUUAUCGAUUAAGAAGUAUUAUGAUGUUUUACUAAAUUAAUUGAUAAUCAAAUUAUAACGAUUACCAUAUACCAUGAAAAAGAGCUUAAAUUACAUUACUACAAGUGUAGAAUGUGGUUAGAAAUUUUAAAAUAACACUAACGAUUAAGGCUGUAUAUAAAAAAUUUACCAAAAACUCAAUAUUUUUGUAGAGGUUAACACAUGGUUUUGAAAUUUUUUUAAAAAAAUGACAAUAUUGUUUUAAUGCAUAGUUGCAUCCUGCACUAUCAUAUGAUGAUGUUCAAAGAAGUAUGAAGCCUUUGUUGUCUCUAUUUUUCAAGAGAAUAGUGAUUUUAAAAUGGAUAGUCCACUAAUUUUGGGAGUUUAUGAAGUUUUACUAAAUUAAUUUAUAAAAACAAUUGAACGAUGUUCAUUUACCAUUAAAAAGAGUUUAGCACACAUUAAUAAAAAUGUAUAAUAUGGUUAGAAAUUUUAAAACAAUACUAAAUAUUAUAGGCUUCAAUAUAUAAAGUAUUUACCAAAAACUCAAUAUUUUCGAAACACAUAGAUUUUGAAAAAAAUUCAAAAAAUAUGACAAUAUUUUCUCAAUGCAUAGUUGCAUAUUUCACUCAUAUAUGAUGAUGUUCAAAGAGGUUUGGAGCCUUUGUUGUCUCCGUUUUUCAAAAAAAUAUUGAUUUUACAGUGGUUAUUCCAUCGAUUUAAGGAGUAUUAUGAAGUUUUACUAAAUUAAUUGAUAAAAAUAUUAUAACGAUUCCCAUAUACCAUGAAAUAGAGCUUAAAAUACAUUAAUACAAAAGUAGAAUGUGGUUAGAAAUUUUAAAACAACACCAUGGAUUAUAGGCUUCAGUAUAUAAAACAUUUACCAAAAACACAAUAUUUUCGUAGAUAGGCUUCAGUAUAUAGAGCAUUUACCGAAAAAUUAAAUAUUUCGUAGGGGUUAACCCAUAGAAUUUGAGAAAUUUUUUUAAAAAAAUUAAAAUUCUAUUUUAAUGCAUAGUUGCGUCCUUCACUAACAUAUGAUGAGGGUCAAAGAGGUUUGAAACCUGUGUUGUCUCCGUUUUUCUAGAGAAUAGCGAUUUUAAAGUGGUUGGUCAACUAAUUUAGGGAGUAUUAUGAAGUUUUACUAAAUUAAUUGACAAAAAAUUUAAACGAUACCCAUGUACCAUGAAAGAGAGUUUAAUAUACAUUACUGCAAAUGUAGAAUAUGUUUAGAAAUUUCAAAACAACAGUAAAGAUCAUAGGCUUCAAUAUAUAGAGCAUUUACCGAAAAAUUAAAUAUUUUGUAGGGGGUUAACCAAUAGAUUUUGAGAAAAAUUCAAAAAAAAUGAAAAUUCUAUUUUAAUGCAUAGUUUCAUCCCUCACUAACAUAUGAUGAAGGUCAAAGAGGUUUGGAACCUUUGUUGUCACCAUUUUUCUAGAAAAUAGCGAUUUUAUUGUGGUUAGUCAACCAAUUUAGGGAGUAUUAUGAAGUUUUACUAAAUUAAUUGACAAAAAUUUAAACGACGCACAUGUACCAUGAAAUAGAGUUUAAUAUACAUUAAUAAAAAUGCAGAAUGUGUUUAGAAAUUUUAAAACAACAUUAAAGAUCAUAUGCUUCAGUAUAUAGAGCAUUUACCGAAAAUUAAAUAUUUUCGUAGGGGUUAACCCNNNNNNNNNNNNNNNNNNNNNNNNNNNNNNNNNNNNNNNNNNNNNNNNNNNNNNNNNNNNNNNNNNNNNNNNNNNNNNNNNNNNNNNNNNNNNNNNNNNNUUUUCCUACAAAAAUAUUGUGUGGUUUUUUAAAAUUUCUACCAUAUUCUACAUUUAUAUUAAUGUAUGCUAAACUCUUUUUCAUGGUAAAUGAGCAUCUUUCAAUUGUUUUUAUCAAAUAAUUUAAUAAAACUUCACAAUACUCCCUAAAUCGAUGGAAUAACCACUAUAAAAUUAUUAUUUUCUUGAUAAACGGAGACGACAAAGGCUCCAAACCUCUUUUAGCAUCAUCAUAUGUUAGUGCAGGAUGCAACUAGGCAUUAAAACAAUAUUGUCAUAUUUUUUGAAAUUUUCUCAAAAUCUAUGGGCUAACCCCUACAAAAAUAUUGAGUUUCUGGUAAAUACUUUAUAUACUGAAGCCUAUAAUCUUUAGUGUUGUUUUAAAAUUUCUACCAUAUUUCUACAUUUGUAUUAAUGUAUGCUAAAUUAUUUUUCAUGGUAAAUGAGCAUCGUUCAAUUUUUUUAUCAAUUAAUUUAGUAAAACUUCAUAAUAUCCCCUAAAUCGAUGGAAUAACCAAUAUAAAAUUAUUAUUUUCUUGAUAAACGGAGAGCACACAGGCUCCAAACCUCUUUGAACAUCAUCAUAUGUUAGUUCAGGAUGCAACUAGGCAUUAAAACAAUAUUGUCAUAUUUUUUGAAAUUUUCUCAAAAUCUAUGGGCUAACCCCUACAAAAAUAUUGAGUUUUUGGGAAAUACUUUAUAUAUUGAAGCCUAUAAUCUUUAGUGUUGUUUUAAAAUUUCUAUCAUAUUCUACAUUUGUAUUAAUGUAUGCUAAACUCUUUUUCAUGGUAAAUGAGCAUCGUUCAAUUGUUUUUAUCAAUUAAUUUAGUAAAACUUCAUAAUACCCCCUAAAUCGAUGGAAUAACCACUAUAAAAUUAUUAUUUUCUUGAUAAACGGAAAGCACAAAGGCUCCAAACCUCUUUUAACAUCAUCAUAUGUUAGUGCAGGAUGCAACUAGGCAUUAAAACAAUAUUGUCAUAUUUUUUGAAAUUUUCUCAAAAUCUAUGGGCUAACCCCUACAAAAAUAUUGAGUUUUUGGUAAAUACUUUAUAUAAUGAAGCCUAUAAUCUUUAGUGUUGUUUUAAAAUUUCUACCAUAUUCUACAUUUGUAUUAAUGUAUGCUAAACUAUUUUUCAUAGUAAAUGAGCAUCGUUCAAUUGUUUUUAUCAAUUAAUUUAGUAAAACUUCAUAAUACCCCCUAAAUCGAUGGAAUAACCACUAUAAAAUUAUUAUUUUCUUGAUAAACAGAGAGCACAAAGGCUCCAAACCUCUUUGAACAUCAUCAUAUGUUAGUGCAGGAUGCAACUAGGCAUUAAAACAAUAUUGUCAUAGUUUUUGAAAUUUUCUCAAAAUCUUUGGGCUAACUAACCCCUACAAAAAUAUUGAGUUUUUGGUAAAUACUUUAUAUACUGAAGCCUAUAAUCUUUAGUGUUAUUUUAAAAUUUCUACCAUAUUUCUACAUUUUAUUAAUGUAUGCUAAACUAUUUUUCAUGGUAAAUGAGCAUCGUUUAAUUGUUUUUAUCAAUUAAUUUAGUAAAACUUCAUAAUACCCCCUAAAUCGAUGGAAUAACCACUAUAAAAUUAUUAUUUUCUUGAUAAACGGAGAUCACAAAGGCUCCAAACCUCUUUGAACAUCAUCAUAUGUUAGUGCAGGAUGCAACUACGCAUUAAAACAAUAUUGUCAUAUUUUUUGAAAUUUUCUCAAAAUCUAUGGGCUAACCCCUACAAAAAUAUUGAGUUUUUGGUAAAUACUUUAUAUACUGAAGCCUAUAAUCUUUAGUGUUGUUUUAAAAUUUCUACCAUAUUCUACAAUUGUAUUAAUGUAUGCUAAACUCUUUUUCAUGGUAAAUGAGCAUCUUUCAAUUGUUUUUAUCAAAUAAUUUAAUAAAACUUCACAAUACUCCCUAAAAUCGAUGGAAUAAUCAAUGAAAGUUUGGUGUUUUUUUGGUCAGCCCAAAAGUUCAUGUUUGUUUUGGCAAUUCGUGCAAAGUUGAGGUUUUUUUUGGCCGAAUUCUCAAUCACAAAUACAUUUGCUUUGGAUAGAUGAAUUACAAUUUACAAGCACCUUUCAUCUAAGUCCAAGUUUAUAUUCUAAAGAGGAAAGCUUAAGCCCAUCAAGACUUGGUGAUGCAAAAAAAAGGAAACUGAAAAUUUUAUUAAAUCACACACAAACAAUAAACAAUCUAAGAACUACAACAACUCAAUGACAGUUUCAAUUACAUUAGUGAGAUAGAAGUACAGAACUACUAAAUAAUUUUUUUUGAGAAAUAAAGAAUAUAAUAACCAAUCUAAACCGGGCUAUCUGAGCUUCUGAUCAUCUCAGGAGAAGAAGCUCUAUUAGCAGAACCAGGACCAGAGCCUGUAGAAGCCCUUAUCUCCUCCAUCAUGUUAACUACUUCCUCCAUGGAAGGCCUAGAAUCCGGAUGCCUUGACACACAAGCCAUCGCUAUCUGCAACGUCUGCACCAUCUCUUCCUCAACGUUAUGCUGCUGCUUGAUCAGCUCCACGUCAAACACUUCUCCAGUCCACUCCUCUCUCACCACAGACUGCACCCACUUGGGCAAAUCCACCAGUUCCUCGUGCCCAGCCGUCUUCCCUGCUGCUUUCCCCGUCAGCAUUUCGAGCAACAGUACACCAAAGCUGUACACGUCGGAUUUGUGAGUGUGUUUCCUGGUUUCUAUGGCCUCAGGUGCUCUGUACCCUAAGCUUCUCGAUGGGAGCAAUGUGUGGUGGCUCAUCAAUGGAGCUAUACUGUAGUCCGAGACACAGGCAUUGAGGUCUUGUGUUAAUAGGACGUUUGGUGAUUUGAUGUUCCCGUGGAGGAGUUUAGCACCAGAUGCAGAAUGUAUGUGAGAGAUUCCUUUUGCAGCUCCUAAACAGAUCUUUAGCCUUGUUUCCCAGUCUAACGCCGCUCUUCCUCCCUCGUUGUUUCCUGCAUAGGAUCCAUCAAAAACGUUACGGUUAAAGCCGAACCAAACCGAAUCAAUUUUCGGUUCGGUUAUGGUCUUGAGUUCAGUUUAGUUCGGUAGUUUUGAAAAAUGGUUCGGUUUGGUUUUUGAUUUUUCUAAAAAACAAAUAUAUAAAAACCAAAAAUAACGGAAACAACAAAAUCGAACUAACUGAAAAUAACUGAAAUGAGCCGAAAUGAGCUGAAAUAACCGAAUUUAUCCUAAAAUAUCUAAUUUUAAAGAAAAUUAUACCAAAUUCUAACCGAAAAACCAAAAAAAUCGGUUAUUUCCGAAAAUAAAAGUAAAAACCGAAAUUAACCGAAGCGAAAUGUAAUUCGGUUAAUUUCGGAAUUAUUUUUCAAAAUUUUGGAAAACCGAAGUCGCAGGACAAUACCACAUGUGAAACAUCAUCAUUACCAUGAAGAAGCAGGGAGAAGUUGCCUCCUUGGUAGUAAUCAAACACGAGCAGCUUCUCGUCUUUCGAGAAGUAAUAAGCACGGAGAGGAGCCACAUUCACGUGCGGACUAAUCCUCCCCACAGCUUCCAUCUUCUGCUCAAACUCCCUUUUACCAGCUGCUACUUCCCUCAGCCUCUUCACCACAACCGUUGUUCCUUCCUCUAAGAUGGCCUUAUACGUCGUCCCGUAGCUUCCUUUCCCUAAAACUUCAGCAGAGGCUCUGAGCAAGUCCUCGAGAUCGAAGUUGUAUGAACUUCCUUCAAAGAAGACCAGCUUGUUCUUCUCAGGCUCCUGGACCCCACUCCCAAACUCUUCAGCUUUGUUGUCACUCCUUAUGGUUUUAGCUUUUGGCGCUGUUGACGUGCUGUCUUGCCCGUUAUCAUCUCUUUUCUUGGCGCAGCAGAGAGUUAUGACGGCGAGAAGGAUGAAUAACAGAACCGAACCUCCAACUGCUAUGCCGACGAUAGCUGCAGUAGAGAGAACCUUUUUCGCUGGUGCAGUGGUGUUGUCAGGGCAUGGAGUUAAAGGACUUCCACAUAAAAGGCUAUUCCCUUGAAAGGAUGACGCUGGGAAGGACUUGAGAGAAGAAGGAACUGAGCCGUUGAGGUUAUUGAAGCUGAGGUUCAAGUACUUAAGGUUAGGAGGGAGGUCAGGGAUUGGUCCGGUGAGAGAGUUGUUUUGCAAGCUGAGAUCAGUGAGCUGAGUCAGGCUCCGUAGACUCGCGGGGAUGUUGCCAGAGAGCGAGUUGUUGGAGAGAUCAAGGUUAACAAGACGAGGAGAGAGAGUGGGAGGGAUGGUACCAGAGAAGUUGUUGUCGUGAAAGUAGAGAGAUCUGAUGAAAGGAAGAGAGAGGAUGGUUAGUGGGAUGUUUCCUUGGAGGUUGUUGGAACGGAGGCUAAUGAUCCUGAGGGCGUCAAGCUUCUCGAAUGUUUUGUCGGGUAAUGGUCCGUAUAGUCCGGAUCCGGGUAAACGGAGCGCGGUUACACGGGAGUUGUUUUUGGAGCAGGUGAUGCCGGUCCAUGAUGUGCAGAUGGGGUUUGUGGUGUUCCAGUUGAGUUUGCGUGCGUGGGGGACAAGAGAUGCGAACUCGAGAAGUGCUUGUUUGUCUGAGUCUAUGUCUGCUGAUAAACAACGGGAGGCCAAAAGGAUAAUUAAGGCCAAAACAAUCAUCAUAAUGCUCGUAGUCGUAGGCUCACUCACAUCAAAGUUUUCUCAUUCACCUGAACUGCAAGUGAACACAAAACAGUUAACUUGUAAAUUAGAGAGUUAGCUAAGAAUGACACCGACACUUUGACAUGUAUCAUCAGGACUAAAGAUUAAAACAAUGGUAAAGAAAAAAAAACUUAAAAAGUAGUUGUAAAGUUAGACACAUCAACUUCCACCAUAAAUAAAAAGCAAAUGACUAUAGAACAAUAGUGGUAAUGAUGAUACAAUCCAAUGCCAACAUUACUAGAUUAUCAAUUAAAAACCAUAGAUUAUGAAAGCCUUUAUGCACACAUUCAAUUAAAAAAUCCUAAUUAAUUAAGAAAGUUGCUAAAUUUAGAGACAAUUAGUAAGAUAAUGUGUGCCCAUGUAACUAUUUUAUACAGAUCUGCAAUCUACAGAUGAACAUUGUAAAAAACUAGUGUUACUCCAGCUAACCAAACAGAGAAUUCGAAAUUGGGAAUUAUAAUUAGCAAUCUAAGCUAAAAAACAAGAUGGAAACAGAGAUCAAAAGUGGGAUAUAGACUGAGAUACUAACCUUUGAGGUGGGUUCAUAGGAGAAUCCUGAGAAGUGGCAUUGGAAGCUGAUCGUUGAAUGGAAUAAAUGCUAAGAGAUAGUGGAGGAAUGACUUUUAACAACGGCAUUUCGUGAAUAAGAAGCUUGAGUUAAAGGCAAAAGCGGAAAGUAGCAGAGAAUCUGGAAUCGCCCAUUGCCAUAAGAUUCAGUGACCACCAAGUGAUCAUGAACAGUCAAAAGAGAGAGAAAGUAAAGAUUUUGGGAGAGAUGCAAUUUUUAGCUAAAGCUUUGUGUUUGAAGGUGAAAGGGAAGCUUCGGCGUGACGGCAACGGAGAAACGUAAAUCUCGAUGUUCGGUUUCAGAUUCCAAUCUCUCUCCUCUCUUGUCUGCACUUUGCUGUCUGGCUUUUAAUGCCUUUGACUCUCUUCCUAAAAGAAUUUAAAUUAUUAAUUCGUAUCUUAAACUUAUUUGUCGUUUUCUUAAAUUUCUCUUUGUUUUAUUCUUUUUCUUUUUAAAAAAUCAAUUUUAGUAUUUAUUGAACGGGUCAAUUGAUGUAAAUAUGGCGGCUUCGUGAGACUUUGGAAUAUUCUAAUAGCUUAUGUGAUAAUAACUCAAUUGAUUUUAAUGUGUAAAUCAUAUGGAUAUUCUCUUUUCAGUAAUGAGAAAAGAUAGUAUUUCAAAAUCAAAGCAUAGAUUGGUAAGGAAAACAACAAAGAGUGGGAGAAAUGUUGCAGAUUAUGUUUAUUUCAUCUUGAUAUUUAUAAAAUUUAAUUUGGGUGGGGAUGGAACUUUCUUUCUUUAAGAUGGACCCACCUGAAGGGGAAGGAAGUUUGGUAUGUGACAUAAAUGAGGGUAUAUGACGAUAAGGUAACAAUGUAGACAGCAUAUGAAAUCUCUUAAAUGUGAAAAUGACAUUAAUGAAAGUCAAUUUUAUGGAAUACAAGAUAAGAAAAAAACUCCAUUGUUGUUGUUAGUUGUGCUUGGCUGUUACCCAUUGUUAACUUUAGCUAUAUUUCUGAUUAACGUUGGGUGUGUGAACCUUUCUAUCCUCAUUCACAUUCUAAUCGUUUCCUUCAAGAAUCAGAUCCUUACGUUGUGUUACCAUCUCUUCAAAUACUUAUAUAACUACAAAGUUACAAUUCUAACUCGAGAACCAAGAACCACUAAAGCCUUAUAUCUUAUCACUCUGUCACUAACGAAGCAAACAGAUAUUGUAGAAAAAAAAUGGUUUACUUGUGGUGCGUUUGUGUGUGUUAUAGUGGGGCAAAAGGGCCAGGAAGCAGCUCGAACCCUCCAUUGUCAAACAUUAGUCCAUGAUCUGACGACCUAUCAUCAAUGCUAUGCAACCAGUUUGUGUUCUUCACGUCUUCUUUCAACAGAAAUGAGUCAUACAUUUUUUUUUUUUGUAACUUGGCUUAAAAUGAGUCAUACAUUGAGCUCUCAUACAUGUCCAUCUGCCUCAACCUUCCCCAUCAGUCUUCUUCCCUCUUUUGCUUCAUUCCCGUUGCUCUCUCCACUGUUGCUGCUUAUUGAAUCCGAAUGAUGAUUCCCUGAACGGUUUGGCUGGAUCUUGGACGAGGCUUGUCUGAUGGUCUGGGUGCACAUGCACCCACUAUUUUUUUUGUAUUUUCAUUUUUUUUUUGAAACUUUUGUAUUUUCAUAUUUUUCUAAGACAAAGUUACAUAAUAGUUAAGUUACAAAAAGAAGAAGUUACAUAAUAGUUAGAUAAUUGUGAAAAAACUCCUACCCAUUAAUUAUUUUUCGUUUACCAAAUAUUUCAAUGAGUUUUGAAAUGAUAAAAUCCAAAUUUAUUCCUCUGAAUAUAGAUCACUCGAACCAUCAUUUUUACGAUAAGUCGAUCGUUUUGUGCAACGUGGUUGCAUGCACCAAUUUUUUUUUUUUAAACUAGCUUCUGCAUGCACCAAAUUUUAGCAAAAAAAAAACGUGGUUGCAUGCAGCAUGCUUCAUGUGAAAAGUUUAUUUUUUUGAUAAAAGAAAAAAGAUUCAUGUGAAAGUUUAUUGCAUAGACUCUUGCUUUCUUCUUCUGUUUAAGACGGAUCAGCUUAUAACAAUAUCCAUUGUUGAUUAUUAUAAUAUGAUCCAAUGAUAAUACACAUGUACUAUAUAUUACAAAAAAAUAAUAAUAAUACACAUGUACUAUAAUAAUAUCGACAGCAAUGCGACAUCGUUACAUAUUUAUAUCAUAUCCAGCUUUAGUCGACAUUGUCACAUUUCGUCAUUUUAACAAAUUAUCUGUACACAAGAUAAAUUUGCUAUAUUUUGUAGUAGUUACGAUUUUGUGCAUAAAAAAAGUAGUAGUUACGAUUUUGGAACUAGAAAUCGAUUUCAAAACCAUCUUGUAAUAUUGGGAAACGAUUUGUUGUAAGUUAGUUGAUAAAUAUAUUAAGGUUCGGAUAUGUUGAUAAAUAUAUGCCGAGCUUAUAACGAUUUUCCUAAUCAUAAUUAGCUUCCUAAUAAGAAGCUUCGAACCUAACAAACUCCAGGUUAAUUUCACCCUUUUUUACAAAAUUAAUCGACUCGUUCCGAAGAUUAACAAAACUUGAGGGACCUUAUUUACAAUUAUUUAAUAAUAAAAUAAGAUUUUAUUGAAAAGUGUAUAAAUCAGAGGACUUUUGUCUGUUAUAAUUUGACUUGAUUGACUCCUAAGCGUUAGGGUUCGGUUCCUUCUUCUUCCUUUUGUCAAACGUUUUCUCAAUCAUCCCCUUGACUACACAUCGCCAAAUCCUCCUUCAUUGGCUGUGCUCAUCCCCAACGAAUCCAACAUUCUCCGAGCUUCGAUUUCCUCCUGUGCUGGUAAGCUCCACGAUCCCGUUUCUGUACUGUCAUUGAUCAGGGUUCGUCGUAGAAUGUAUUGAUUGGGAUGAUGGUGGAUCGAAUCGCCAAAUUCUGCAAUUGGGUUUGCCAAUUUUGCAAUUAAAAAUCGCAUUUUUCCAUUUAAUGGAUAAUGAGAACGAUUCUGUUACCAACUAUGUGUGAUAAAGAUCGUUGCUUUGUUGUUCUGCGUUUCUUAAUGAUGAUAUUAUUUAUUUAUUUUGCUCUAGAAAAAUUGUUUUAAUUCGUUUUUAUUUGUUCUAUGAUUUUCACCAAAAUACGAUAUUUUGAUCGGUCUGGUGUUUAAUUUAACAGACAUAAUCAUGUACGGUUCUGUCUGUUAAAAUUGAUGAGUUUGAGUUCUGUUUUUUUUUUUUUGUAAUCUCUAGCAGACAAGCUGAUUGAAUAUGUUUUCCCAAUUACAGUUGCUGAGUUGAAGCUUUUGUUCUCCUGAUGUGUUAACAGGAAACAGUCAUCUCCUCUUGAUGCAGUUUUGAUUCUACAACGCCUUUGGAGUUUAUUCGAUUUCAUUUAAAUUUGAAAAACUUGCGCCAAAUCAAAUGAUGCAUUCAGGCUACAAAAAGCUUCUGCUGCUUCUAUUCUUAUUCAUCGCUAUAUUCAUUAAGAACACUAACGGAGACACUCAGGAGGAGAUCUCGCAUAAAGCAAGAGCUUCUCCUGAUGGAAACACUGGAAGAAACGUUAUAGACGGAAGCGGUGUUGAGAAAGCCUUACAUGACAUUGGAAUGGGUGAGAAGAGAGGCAGCAGUCACAGCAAAGUCUCAGUCUCAACAGUUGUAUUGUUCACCUUGGCAAUGGCUGCCGCCACUGGGCUAGGCGCAGUGCCCUUCUUCUUUGUUGAGCUCGAUCCUCAGUGGGCUGGAAUAUGCAAUGGCAUGGCUGCUGGUGUGAUGUUGGCCGCUAGCUUUGAUCUUGUAAAGGAGGGGCAAGUGCAUGGUUCUGGAAACUGGGUUGUUACUGGGAUUCUAGCCGGUGGGUUGUUCAUUUGGCUCUGCAAGCAGGUAACUUGAAAAAAAUUGAUUCUUUGGCUGUCCAAAACCUGGGUAGAGUGAUUUGCGUGAUUGAAUAAUAUCUCAUGUGUUGACAGAUGACAGAACCCUAUAGUUAUGUAGUUUCAUCUUAUAUUGACCUCAGAGUUGUAGAAUAUUAUGGCCUACGGGUUCGGUUUCUUCGGUUAGUUUGGAAUUUGGUUAGUUUGGGUCAGUCGAAAUCUUGCCGAAGUGAACCGAUAAGAAAUUUGGUUCGGUUUUUGGUUAGUUCGGUUUUCACAAUUUUCUACCAAAUUAUCGGUUUUCAGUUAAAUUUUAUGUUUAAAUUGAAUAAAAUUCGAAACUUUUUGGUUAAGUUCAGUUAGUUCGGUUCAGAUUUUGGUUAAGAUGUUUGGUUGUAGUUUUUAUAGAAAGCCGAUUAUCGAACCGAAAACCAAAUUUUUUUAGUUGCCGAAUUGAACCAAACCGAACCAAAAAUAGGACGUUGAUAUAAGUUCUUGUCUUUUGUAGUUUCCUUUUACAUUAGUUGCCUGCCAAGUUGCAUAAAAUCUCAUAAUUGAAAACUCACUUUACCUUUGGCAGUUUCUUGAACAAUACGGUGAGGUUAGCAUGCUGGAUAUCAAAGGAGCAGACGCAGCGAAAGUUGUUCUCGUUAUAGGGAUCAUGACACUUCAUUCUUUCGGGGAGGGGUCAGGGGUUGGUGUAUCGUUCGCUGGCUCAAAGGGUUUCAGCCAAGGGCUUCUGAUCACAUUGGCAAUAGCCGUUCAUAAUAUUCCAGAAGGAUUGGCUGUUAGCAUGGUGCUGACGUCAAGAGGCGUCUCUCCACAAAACGCCAUGCUCUGGAGUAUAAUCACAUCUUUGCCUCAGGUUAUAUACAAACAAUGUUCUUUAAAUCUGAUUUCGUUGUCUACAUAACAGAUUAUUGAUUUUUUUGUUUUUAUUUUUUCACCAGCCUCUCGUUGCUGUGCCAGCUUUUUUAUGUGCUGAUGCAUUUAGCAAGUUCUUGCCCUUUUGUACUGGAUUUGCCGCUGGGUGUAUGGUCUGGAUGGUUAUUGCUGAAGUGCUUCCUGAUGCAUUCAAGGUGAAUUACAUGUGCUCUUGUGUGAAACGUUGAUGCUUAUACUAACUUGAUAUCUCUUCUUUGUAACCGGAACAGGAAGCAUCUCCAUCUCAAGUAGCAUCUGCAGCCACGAUAUCAGUAGCAUCCAUGGAAGCUUUUAGCACUCUUUUCGAGAGUUUCACACAUGAUUACAAGUAAAACAAUGGAUUUUUUAAUUUAAAUGUAUUAGCCAUUGCAUUUGAUUGGUUAUUAAAUUUAACUAAGGCUUCAUUUUCUUUACUAUGCAGCUCGGAGGAUGCUUCUGGCUUCUUCGUUUCACUCCUCUUUGGUCUAGGCCCAUUGCUUGGGGGAGGGUUUCUGGUUGCAUCGGCACUCACCUUCCGUCUCCAGCACGCUCUCCUCAUGGGAGUAGCCUCAGGCAUUGCCUUUGUCCUCGGUCUCUGGCGUCCGCUUCAACUACUGCUCUCUGCAAAAGUGGGACUCAUCCCUCUGGUUACUCUACUCGCGUUUGGAGCCGGGCUGAGCCAUGUCACUAGCUCAACCAUCCUGAACAUUACUUCUCGGAAGAAGUCUCGAGCUGGCAGUUUAAUCUCUCCAGUAACUAAUUUUCCAACGAGUAUGAUAACACUUCAAUCAUUAUUAGCGUGUGGAGCGGUUGGUUUCCACGCAUUAGCCGAGGGGCUCGCUCUUGGAGUGGCUGCUCCAAAGGCGUAUGGGCUAGGCAGACACAUGGUGCUCCCAGUUUCCUUACACGGGCUGCCAAGAGGGACAGCGGUUGCAAGCUGCGUUUUCGGUGCUACAGAUAGCUGGCACGCAGCUCUUGCGGCGGCUGCUUUGAUUGGGUUUGUGGGACCUGUGUCAGCCAUAGGGUCUAUACUAGCCGGGAUAGAUUACAGUGGGCUUGAUCAUGUGAUGAUGGUGGCGUGCGGUGGAUUACUGCCUAGCUUCUGGCAGGUGGUGAAGAGAGCGGUGAAGUUAGAGAGAAAGAAGGGGAGUGUGGGGAUGGUGCUGGGAGUAGCGUGUGCGGUUGUGUGUCUGACUUUUACUAGACUGGUGUGCUUGCAUACGCCUUAUUGCAACUCUGCACCUGAGGCUGUUAGGUGAAUGAUUCUUGAAAGCAAGAGCCACCUCUUGUGAACUCUCUUUUUUCUUUUCUUUUUAUGUUGUAAGAUAUAUCUUUUCUUUGUGAAUAAACGAACUCAUUAGUUUUAUUUGGCAGAAUGAACCAUUAACAUUUACGUUUUUGUGCAAGUAAACCAUUGAAUCUAUAGAUAUUAUGAGCAACAUUUUAUUUGUCAACUAACUGUUUUUCUUUGUUGGAAAGCUAUCAACUAGUAAACUUUUAGGGUUUUUAGAAUAUGAAAUGUAGCAUUAUAAUAAAUAUAUGAAUAAAUACUUAAAAAUAUAUAUAAAAAAAUUAAAAAUAGUUUCAAACAUAAUUUUUAAUUUUCAAAAAAGAAAUUUUGGAAAAAAUUUAAACGAAAAUUUCGAAUAAGUAUUCCAACAAAAAAAAAUUAUAAAUAGAAUUUGAAAAAUAUAAUUCGAAAACAUAUUUAUUAAUUUUUUAUUUUUUUAAUAACAAUUAAUUAUAUAUCUAGAGAACGAGUGUAUAAGAGUUUUUAUGCCACUUAGUAAAGAAUGUAUUUUUGAAAAUGUCCAUUGAUGGUAAAGAUGAAAAGUGAUAUUGAUAAACACAAAUUUUCCUAAUUUUUAUCAACUUUCAACAUUUAAAAGAUGGAUUUAGAUGCCAUGUCUUUUAGAUGACACUCCAAUCGAUGACAGUCAUAUUUGGUACUAUAUUUUUGUAUGUAAUAUUUGUUUUGAUCAACAACAACUUUCAUUAACCAACAAGGUAAACGAGAUUACAACCACGAAAGAUUUUAACCCACCAUACAAACGAUGAGAUCUAAUACCACCUAGAAACACUAAAAGAAUAUAAUGUAAAAUCGUUGUUUAACUAGAAAUAUCUGAAUAUUACUAAAUUAUUUGUUUUUUCUCCUAGCAUCGGGAAUCCGGUAAAUAGAUAACUCAGAAGCAUAUGUUUCAAAUCCUUUUGAAAGACAUUGCCUUAUAAAACUAAAGACCACACAUUUUGGCAGCAUUGUAUAGAGACUAGUGAUAUAUAUGUUUUGAUUUUGGUAAGGGGAAGCAAGAGGUGCAAUCCAAUGACUGGAUUCGUCUAUAGAUACCAUGAUUUCAAGACUCACAACGAUGUAUCCAUCAUUCACAACUUCUUUACCCUUACUCAGUUUGCAGAUCGCCACUUUUAUCCCACAUAUUAUUUUAAAAUCUAUAAUGAUCACCAUAUGUUCACUUUUAAAUGUCUUGCCUGGUUUUGGACGUAGAUGUUCAUCUUAUCAUCACUUUUCAACCUCUGAAUUGCUGAUUCCAAAGUAUCAUAAUGGUAAAUUUCCUUCACCUUGUUAAGUUCUUCUUCUUUGACAUUAAACUCUUCUGAGAUUCUACAGUAUAACCAAUAAUGAUGACAUGAAGCCACAAAAUUGAGAAGUUAAUUGAUUAUCACAGAUUAGAAAAACAAAUUAUGUCCACAAUUUAGAAACAUGGUCAAGCUCCACAUGGAAUCAGACAAUUUAGAACCUGAUUGUUUUGUCUACAUAAUUAAAACGUGUGUUUCACAUUUUUUAUAGUUUAUUUUUAAGAACUAAAACCGAAACAGAGUAAUACAUCAUCUAACAUGUACUGCAUUGUACAAAUUUUGUUUUUUGUAAAGAAAUUAUCAUAAACAAUAGGAUUGGGCAUAAUAUUCAAAUCCAAAUAACUUAAUACCGAACCUAAACCCAAAUAUAUUAAAUACUCGAAUGGAUCCUAAACUUUAAUAUCUAAAAUAUCUACUUAUUAUCUAUCCAAAUAUCAAAAUCGAAUCGGUUUUCCUGUUGAUCUUAAGUAUAAUUUUAUAAUAUUCAAAUUUAUAUAUUGUAUAUUAUUUUAUUUUCCAAUUUUGAGGAUUUACGAUAUAUUUGGAUUUUUAUAUUUGCUACAUAAUUUAAUGGAUACAAAUAUAAGAAUAAGAUUUAAAUCUCUAACUCCAAAAUUCCAAAACUCGAAUAAGUUUGAAUCAAACUUGAACAUGUACACAAUUAAAAUAUAUAAGAUUAUGUGUUUAAUUUAUUUCCUAAUAUAUAGAUUAUGUGUUUAAUUUACUUCCAGAUAAUAAUAAUAAUAAAAUGUUUAUUUGGGUUAAUGUAUGAAACCGAGAUGUUUAUUAUUUAAUUUAAUAGUAUUAUAUAUAUAUUCUGAAUUUUACUUUUGUAUAUAAUUUAAAAUUAAAUUAAUAUAUAAUAUUAUUUACUAAUGGUGACAAAUUUAUUUCUAUUUUAAAAAAUUGUAUAUCAUAUUUUUUAAACUGUAUAGUAAUUUAUCAGAUUACAUUCUUUUAAAAACUUGUAAAUGAUAUUUUUGUAAAAGAGAUUUAAAUAUUUAGUUGAAUAAUUAAGUUGUUAGCUAACAUAUUAAGGUACAUCGUUAAUAUAAAUGUUUGAAUAUAAUAAAUAUAAUAUGGAAGAUUAGGUCCAAAUAGUUAAAGAACUUUUAUUGAAUUUAUUUUCUUGGUAAUGCUGAUAAAGAAAAACAACAAACAAUGAAAUCCAAAUAUUAGGAUGAACCUAAAGAGGGAUUAGUCUUCAUAAAUCUUGCAGCAGCAGCAGCAGCGUUGAUUGGUUUUUUGGGAUUGAUUACAGUGGACUGGACCACGUGAUGAUGGUGCGCGUGCGGUGGAUUACUGCCCAGCUUCUGGCAGGUGAUAAAGAGAGCGGUGAAGUUAGAGAAAAAGAAAGGCAGUGUCGGGAUGGUGCUGGGAGUAGCGUGUGCGGUUGUGUGUCUGACUUUCACUAGACUGGUUUGCUUGCACACGACUUGCUGCAAUUCUGCAGCAGAAGCUGUUAGAUGACUUGAUUCUUGAAAGCAAGAGCCACCUCUUGUGAAUAAGCUCAUUAGUUUUAGCACUCGCAGGAUGAACCAUUUAAUGUGUGUAAUUAAAACCAUUGGAUCAUGAAAAACCUUUUAUUGAAUUUAUUUUCUUGGUAAUGCUGAUAAAGAAAAACAACAAACAAUGAAAAUCCAAAUAUUAGGAUGAACCUAAAGAGGGACUAGUCUUAUUUAUUCAUUCAUAAACACAACAAAACUCUAAAGGUCUUAAAGCUUUUGUAAGAAAAGGAAAGAUCACUGAAGAAGAAGGGAAGCCUCUCUUUUGUCCCUAUGAACAAGUGAAAACAAAGAGGAAGCGCUCACUCACAAAGAUUCAAACAUCCUUCACCUUCACAUGAAUCUCCGUCUUCGUCUUCUCCUCCUCAACCCCAACCUCACUCUUCCCCUCCACAGACUGCGAUCCAGUCAUCCUCGCCAACAAAACAAACGACAUCCCUCCCACAACAUUGUUCACACACCUCAACACAAACACACUCGUCUUAAACACCACAGGCGGCAUCGCCCUCGCAAGCAAGAACUCAACUCCAUUCAACGUCUGGUACCUCACAUUAGCACUCACCCCCAUAUGCGUCGCCCAAGUCAGCGAGUUCAGCACCGUCGGCGGCGGCUUGUUCGGCGUUUCAAACCCCGGAUCCAUCUUCUUCCUCAACAUAAUCAACCCAUUAGAGAUAGCCGUUCCGACAAGACCCGCAGCUAACCCCACAGUCGCAAAGACCAUUCCUUUAUACACAAGGGUACCAAAACGGUUCAUAACCGUGAACCCACCCUGUUCGAACAUAUGUCCCGAGGGGCAGUUUCUGAAGAUUCCGGGUAACCUCUGGGAGACGCCUGCGGUGGCUGAAGUGGGAGCUAAGAGGUACAUGAGCAUGAAGUUGAGAAUCGAACCCACGACGAGAGUUGAGAAGACGAAGUCGAGCUCGUUUAGUCCGAAGUUGGGACGCGACGCCAUGUCGCCGAGGACGCAGGCGGUGACUCCGACGAGCUCUUCCAUGAGGACUUUGAAAGGGAACUGAGGGUCUGCUGAGACUCGUGAUCUCCAUCCUUCGAUGAACAUCCCUAUUGGUCCCCAUGAAGAAGAAGAUGAUCCUUCUUCUUCUCCUCCGUAACCGCCGUCUCCUCCACCACCUGAGGGUGGAUUACCGAAGUUACUACCACCACCACCGCCGCCUCCGGCGCAUGGGAUUGGGAGGUUUGGGGAAGAGAAGUUUGUGUGGAGUGAGCAUACUGAUCCACUUCGUGGAAACGAGAGGGUGAUUCUUGGAUCGCGGGAGAGGUUGAUCGGUCUCGGCGGAGGUAGAUUCGGAUUCGAUUUCGCUGACAGAUGAAGACGCGCGAUAGCAGCCAUCUUCUCUCAAGGGAGGAUCUUGAGAUAAUCUAAUAGAAAAUGGCUUUGUUCAAUGAUUGAAAGCACGGCGGACACUGUGUUUUGGGAACCUCACCUAUAUUUUAACAAAACCCUACUUCUUGUAAUAAAAACUCAAUCGGCUCAUUUCCCACGUGCGAGUACUAAAAGCAGCUCCCCCACGUGUCAUAAGGCUCAACUACUUCACCUACAUACAAAACCAUGUUGAGCUGACCCACCACCACCACUUUCACCACCACCGUUGUUGAAUUUUUUUUUAUGGGAUACACUAUUUUGGACAAAAGAAUCAUACUUUCAGUCAGGCCUAUGGGUUCGGCUUCUUCGGUUGGUUUGGAAUUUGGUUAGUUAAGAUCGGUCGAAAUCUCAAUCAAAAUGAACCGAAAAAUUUUGGUUUGAUUCGGUUUUCGGUUAGUUGGUUUCAAAAUCUUUUACCUAAAUUUUCGGUUACUUCGGUUAACAUUUUAGUUUAAAUUGAAAAAGAAUUGAACAAUUUCGAUUAAUUUCGGUUUGGAAUUCUGUUAAACUUGAUAUUGUUUGGAUUUUUUUUUUUAAAAACAUAACUAACGGAUUACCAAACUGAACUAAACAAAAAAUCAAUUUUUUUUUGUUACCGAACCAUAACCGAAAACCAAACUUUUCUGGGUCCCUUCGGUUCGGUUAAAAAUCUCAUUCCUUACUUUGUGUUUUUGAAGAUGACAGAUCAUAGUCGGUGUAUUGGGCUUUAAAAGCCCAAACAAAGCCCAUUGGUUUUGUUAAUUGAAUCAGCAUUUUCAAACUCUCAAAUCAUUUGGUGAAGUUUGGAUCUUUGAUACAGAGAAGAGGAAGAAGAAGAAGAUGUCGUUGGUGUGGCUAGAAGCGGCUCUGCCUCUGGGAAUCAUCGGAGGGAUGCUCUGCAUCAUGGGCAAUUCUCAGUACUACAUCCACAAAGCUUACCAUGGCCGUGUAUGCCUUUUCCCCUUCAUUAGAUCUCUCAUAGGCUUUCACGAUUUGAUCCGUCUGGAUCCAAAAGUAUACAAAUUUGAUUAAUUCAAUCAAUAAAUGAUUUCAAAUUUUGGGAUUGAGCAGCCAAAGCACAUCGGGCACGAUGAAUGGGAUGUUGCUAUGGAGAGACGCGACAAGAAAGUCGUCGAGAAAGCCGCAGCUCCUUCCUCAUGAUCCUCCUCAGGUCUGUGUUGUUUCAGAAGCGGUUAGUGUGUCUGGUUUUAUAGGCUCUCGAAAAUGAAGAUGCUUUAAAGCGCGUAAAGAUAUAGACUUUUGGUGGAGAUAGCUACUGUUUAAGUCGUUAUGCGCUAUUGCUUAGCUCUUUGUCUGUUUAAAGGUUUAGGGAACUGGUUUUGUUGCUUGUCUGUGUGGAAAAGUCAAGUCCUUUAGGGGGAAAAUGAAUGUUAUGCUGAGUUUUGUCUGCUUAUCUCUUUGCCUCUUGAGUUUUGUGUGUCUGAGAUUGGUUAAUUGAUGACUUUGCUGUUCUUAUUUUCUCAUAUAGCUGUAGGGAAGAGAUUUUCUUUUGUUAUCGAUGUAACUCUGAGUGAUAUGUUGAUGUGAUGUAGGGGCUAAAGGAUACUCCAGAAGAGACGAAGAAGAAGCCGAAGAAUCUAGUUCUGUUGUUCCUGUUUUGAUUCUGUUUUCAAAAUUGAGACCUUAAUGACAUUUGGUUGAUAACUUGUCUCUUUUUGUUUGUGAUGCAUGUUGUUAAGCUGCAUGACAUUUGGUUUACAACUACACUCUUGCUGUGUGAACGUAUUAUGAAUAAUCUCGAAAAAUGGCUCACCUGAAAACUUGUCAGUGUGGAUAGAAUCCAUCUCAAGUGUGUGUGUUUGCUGGUGGUUAGAAUAAUAGGGGGGCGAUUGUGAAGAUACUUGCGAGUCCAAUGAAGCUUGUGAUGAUGAGUCUGUCUUUGCUACAACAGAAACACUUGAAUCUCAAUGACACACUAUUAUCUUUUGAAGAAUGCUAAAACUCAAAAGUUGAAUAUAAAACAAAUAUAUAUUAUCCACAUUAUAAUCAACUCCAAAUUUGGGGGAAAGUAUAUCCAAAAAAUCAUACAAAGCCGCUUUUUUCUUCACUUAUCCUCCUAAAGCUACACAGCACUAAGCAUUGCAUAGAGUAUUAAUACCACUCAGUGAGGAGGAGGAAGCAAAGGCAUGCUAAAAAUCUGUUAAUCCUCUGUGACAAAUCUAGCGUGUUCCAUCCCAGGAGGUGAUAAAGGAGGAACCGCUGAUUCAGUUCCUAGAAGGUGCCUUGCAGAGAUGCCCUGAGACUCCUUGUCCUUUGAAGUAAGGGACUCAGAUUCUGUAGUUUUCGAAGAGUUGCUUUUGUGCAUUGAUGCUAAGAACUGUUUCUUUGAAAGAUUUGUUGAAGCUGAUGACACAACCGAGCUGAAAACACCAGACUCCUUCAAUGCUUGUAUAACAACCUGCAUUUUACGACCAAAAGUAAAUAACCUUUUACACUUGACACUCCAAAACUUUGUGUUUGGAAAUUUCUGUAAUGAGUUGAUGAGAAGUUUCUUACCAUUGGUGAAUAAAUUCGAGUCAGAAUACCCUUCCUAAGGAGUUUCAUCUUCACUUCUUUGUCGCCCCACACAACAUGUUCACGGUACCUAAAACAGGAUAGGUUACUAUUGUAUCAAGACUCCAUGUUCAAAGAGUGUUAAAAACUUCUCAUCACACAAGUGAACAAGAAAGAAUGCAGUUAUGCGGCUAAGGCUCUUACCAGCUAAUCAUUUCAUCUUCAGUUGCUGUUGACGCAAUUAUAAAUGCCUACAAUUGUUCAUCAUCCAGACGACAUCAUAACAAUAGUAAGUGGAACUGAGUCACAUAUAAUUUUACGAAAUGACUUAAUUCAUGAGAAAAGAUGCUUACAGAUCUAUCAAAAUCCAACAUAAAGCAUCUUUUCACGUCUUCUUUUGUAGGCUUGCAGCCACAUCGAUCACGCCUCGAUGUUAAGUCAGAGAACUUGGCAUAUGUGUAGUGUAAGACAGCAGCCUCCUCCAAUUUGAUCUCACUGCCAAUAAAUAAACAGAUUAAUAUUUACAAAACAUGAUUUGACUUCAUAGCCGUAACUACACUCCACUAUAAAACUCCCUUAUGCUUAGUUACAAAACAUUAGUCUUAUCAUGUUCCUUAACCUAUAGAAAAUUUACUUAUGUAUAUAUGAUCAACGUACUUGGGGGUUUUCAUGUAGUUAUGCCAUCUGUGUGCUCCAUUUGGUCGGAGGUGAUCUUGAACCCUAGCAACUGAUUUGCCAUUACCAUAAGUCAAGAAGUAGUUUGGAUUAUUUCGUGUUGCUUCUUUGUACAUUCCAAAGUAUGUAUCUUUUGGAAGAUGGUCAUAGUUCUUUUUAAACAUUGACACCUGAAUGCAUCAAACAAAAGAAAAGAAAGAAACGUUGAAAACCACAGCUCUUCAAUUUAGUUAAGUAUCUUAGGCUAAAAUGGAGAAACAAGCUGAGUUAUACCUCUGUGAAAGGAUCCUUGAUAUCAUCUCUUUCUACGCUGCUUUCCUAAACAAAACAAAACCCAAAACACUUAUUCAAAUAAGGAACUCUUAACACUCACCAAAGUAAGCACCAAAGUAAGCAAGAAAUGUUUUGACUCACAUAAUUUGGGAAUAUAACCAUAUCCACAUUUGGAGGGACAUCAAGAAGCAACCGUCUCAAUGAGUACUCACGAGCACCUGCUGGGUAUAUCAGCUCAUCUGUGUCAAGGUGAAGGAUCCAAUCCAUGCCCGCAUCCUGAUAUUUUAGCAAGUUUAGAACAACAAAAAGAGUGUCUAAAUAUAACAUGAGACUCAACCAAAAAAUGCUUACCCUUGCCAUGACAAUAGCCAUUUCCAUGUUGAGAGAUUGCUUCACAAAUAACUCAUAAUUACAGGGCUUGUAGAAGAAAGAAGAUAGCCACGUCUCAUUCCAAAUCCGGCUGAUGAAUCAAAAUAAAAAUUGGUCAGUAGCUGAAGAUACAACCAAUGCUAUUGUAAUGCCUUCCCAAAAAAGCUAAAGAUAUGUAGCAGAUAUGCAAUGGUAUAGUUUACUAACCUCUUUGCCUGCUUCUCCUCCAGAUCUUUUGUCCUGUAUAUCACCUUAACCCCCUGGAAGAGACAGAGAACUACGUUUACGGAGAAUCAUUUACCUCAUCAACACCCAAUUGAUACCUCUACAGGACUAAAGAGCUACAUUCAUACAGCUAAAACUAGGAGAUUAGUUAAACUCACAGGAAUAGACUCGAGGACUUUAGAGAUACUGGGCGUAGCAGCUUUCCCUUCAACGAAGAGAAAAAACGUGGAGACGCCAAGAACCUUAUGGUAGAACAUCCAUGGCAGAAUCUGAUCCAAUCCUGCUGAUGUGCUAGUCGUGAUACAUAUCUGUAAAUGCCCAAAUCAUAAAGGUAAGAACUUUACAAACCCAAAGACAGAUCCAAUCAGUCAACAAUCUCUUAGAUCACAACAAGACAAGAACCCAUUCUCGAAACACUUGAAAGCAGAUGACUUUAACGAUUACCUUAGGCUUUAACCAAUGCCCAAAUCAUAAAGGUAAGAACUUUACAAACCCAAAAGACAGAUCCGAUUCAAGACAAGAACCCAUUCUCGAAACACUUGAAAGGAUAUGACUUUAAACGAUUAUACAUACCUUAGGCUUUAAGUUAGAAUCAACACCGAACUUCCAAUCACCGUAGUAAGGAAAGGAAGGGGACGAGCUUCGAGCUAGAUUCGAGCAGUCAGAGGAAGAGGAUUGGUGAGCUUUCGGGGAGACGGAUGAGACAGUCUCCAUCCCAGGAAACACCUCGUGGUUGAGAUCGGAGUUACCGCCGGGGACUGAGGUCGAGGAGAUGACGGAAGCGGAGGCGGGAUCGGCGAGACCACCGCCUCGCCAUUGGAGGAUGAAGGCGAGGCAGGCGAGGGAGACUGGGAGUAGAGUCAAUAGAAGGAGAAGCCUAGAGACGAAAGAGUUGCUCGAAGAGGAGGAAGAUGAUGAUGAGGAAGAGAUCAGUGGAGCUCUGUGCAUCGAUUUCAUGGCGAAUUUGAGAAGAACAAAUCUGAUUCUGAGAUCUAAUCUGUAAAAAAAAAUUGAGGCUUUUUUAAAUCUCAAAUCAUCAUCUCUGUUCUUGAGAGAUUUUUUUCUUCUAUUAGUUUGUUAUUACUUUCCUAUGUUGUCUUAAGAACACAUAAUUAAAAACAUUUCGUUGCUUCUACGCUUUUGUAAUAAAAGCAUCAGUUUCAUGACCAUUGUAUUAAAAGCCCAAUGGGUAUAAUAAUGAUACACGAGUAUAUAAAACCCAGUUAAAUUGGGCCUACACGAAACCCACAACGAAGCCCUUUCAGUUAUCUUCCAUGAGAUGCGUAGAAAAUAGAAAUUUAAUGAAAUAAAUUAGACGUAAAACGUUAAUUUAAUAAUUUCUAUGAUUUAGAUGUUAAUCUGUGAGGUGAGGAUGGCUUGUUUAUGCGAUUCGAAUGAGUGGGGACAAAGUAUCACUCAGUCGCUCAUGCUCACAACCACUUGCUUUACCCGCACCACCGAUACCAGGAAUGGGAAG